CCUCCGCCACCUCCUGCUUCUACACCUUUCAUAGCAGCUCCACCCGUCAGGGCGUUCGGUAGUCCCAUGGGUUUCCCUGGUAUACAUAUCAACUUCAAGAUUUCUUGCUUAUGCUUGAUAUAAUUAUCAUUAAUCUUCUAUUGCUUCCUUUAUUCUAUGGUUUGUGUUGGCUGUUCCAGAAUUGGCUUCUCCUAUGUACUAUGUUGCACAACCUCCACCAAAUAUGAGAGGAAUGCCCUUUCUGGCUGCACCAAUGCCACCUCAUGCCGUGUUUUUUCCACCACCAGACUUCCAGUUGCAUUCCAAAAUAGUGACUCAGAUAGAUUACUAUUUUAGGUACCCUUCUCACGUGUACAUUCAAUAGUCUGUUUAGGAUGCUUCAUUUUGGCUACAUAAUUUGCUCACAUUGACUGAUCUUGUGAUUACUUGUGUAUGGCAGCAAUGACAAUUUGAUCCGUGACACCUAUUUGCGACAGAAUAUGGAUGAUCAGGGCUGGGUACCCAUUAACUUAAUUGCAGGCUUCAAAAAAGUGAGUUGUAUCAUCGAUUUCUUAUCUUCUAUGUGCUGCUCUUAUCUCAUCUGUUUUAUCUGUCCUUACAACUGGUUUCCCAUUUGAUUGCAACUAUAAAAGCAAAGAAGAAAGUGUUUUGUCACGUUGCUCACAUUCAAUACUUUUGUGGUACAAAAUAGGGUUCUAUGCAUUAUUAAAUGUACAGCUUUUCUGCGUUUGUUCUAUUAACUGUAAAAAAAGGAGCUGCUCAGUUGGAGCUAGAAACGAGCGCUAGCAGAAGUAAAUAUUUGUCAUUUGACGAGAUGAACUUUGAUUUCUGCUUUAUGUAAUCACAAAACUGGCACUCCCACAUGCAUUAGUUGGGCGAUAAAAUUGUGUAUACGGGCAUGCUGGAUUAGAACAAUGGUGUAAGAUAAGGUUUUCUGUAGGUAGGAUGGAGGAAGAACUUUAACACUAGUUGGUGUUAAGGUUUAAUAAACGUUCAUCAAAACUAGUGGUUGUAAACCAAAGAAUAAGGAACUGAUAAUUCCUAUUGAUCUUAGUAGCGUUCUGAAACAUAAGAAGAGGAUAGUUAUUACUAAUUACUACUAAGAAAAUGAAUAUUAAGUCGGUUCUUAUUGCUAAACAGAUGAUAAAUCAGCAAGAAAUUACUAGCUCCAAGUGCUAAAGAAAUAAAAACUUGAUUUCAAUUCGUAGUAUAUUUGGGUGGUUAGUUCAUGCGAUUUGAGUAUUUCUUGCGACCAUGGAAGCUGAAAAGAAUGAGUAAAACAUCAAUGACAAGAAACUCAGUGGUAAGCUUUUGUUUUGACUUCUAUGUUUCAUAUUGGGUUGGAAUUAUCAUUAGGUCUCUAUAUAUUAUGUGCUUCCCUUUCCUCUCAUGUUAUGCAGGUAGCCUUUGAUUUUGUGUAUGUCUGCUGGUUCAAUGUAUUGAGCUGGUCAUAUAUGUAAAAGAUGUUGUCUUUGUACUCUCAAGGAAAUAUUUGUUUAUAUUCCUGUAUUCCUUGCCUAAGGCUAAGCCUUAUGACCACCAUAUUAAUCAAAUAUGAAGAUGCUGAUAUAGACGGCUUUCUUUUCCGUCUGAGCAGGUUUCACAACUUACAGAUAGUAUUCCACUGAUAUUGGAUGCUUUAAGGAAUUCUUCCAUUGUGGUGGAAGUACAGGUAUAAAUUCUGUUUCGACUAUUGAUGGUGAGGGUUCAAAUAGUUCUUCAUUACUGAUAUACCUUGAAUCGUCAAUUGCAAUAUAUAGGGUGACAAAGUAAGACGGAGGACCGACUGGAUGAGGUGGUUGUUGAAGCCAUCUCAGGUCCCAAGUGUGACAAGCUCUCAGGGAGUCGGCGAGUCCAGCAGCCAAGACACCAUUUCAGAUAAUUUGCAGAACAUGUAUUUGGAAGACAAGGUUACUGGGUCUGGGCAGAGCCAAAGUACAUCUAUAUCUGGUGAUUUUAAUAGCAAUGAAGAAGGCACAAGUCGAGUUGGUCAUGAUGGAGAUUUGGAUGGAUAACUUGUUCACACUUGCAAGGAGUUGAAGUGAGAAGUGUGUUGUGAUGCUCAACAUUCAACUAAAGGCUUGAAGGGAGAAUGUGAGGAACGAAAGAGGGGUCGGUCUCCUACAUAUUUUUGAUGGUAGUGGUCUUGCCUAUCGCCAUUAGAACAUGGUAUUCGGUGAGCUUCUUUUAGAAAAUAGGCGGAAACAAAAAAAAACUCUUUAAAAACAAUUUUUUGGUAAAAGAAAAAAAAUUGAAAACAAAAAAAAAACAAAACUUAAAUAGAAACUUAAGGUAAACAUUUUAUGGAUUAAGAUAGUGAAUGAUUUUAUUUAUUUGGAUUAUUAUGUGUAAAGAUUCUUUUUGGGUUAGGCAUAUUACUAUUUCUUCUUUCAAUUCUGUUUAUGUUCAGUGUCGAUGGUUGAACUCGUCCGCUGCAAUCCUCGAAAGGGAUGAUAUAACGUGUAUUUGUCGACAUGUAGAUGUUUCACCUCGGUCAUUAUGAGUGAAAAUAAUAGCAAAAUUGAACUUGCGGAUCGUGACAGCAUAGUGCUGUGGCCGUCGGAAUGAACUGUUGCGCGCAGCAAGUUCCAAGAAAUUGGGAGGCACAAUGAGUUCCAAAAUAUGGAGUUGGACUUAGCUCGCUCUGGGAAUUGAAGGCUUUCCGGCGGAGUCGAGGAAGAAGACAGAAAUGCAACUGAGAGAAAGUUAAGCGAUCAAUUUUAAGCUCCUUUGGGUUGCCAGUGCAACCACUAAUAAUUGGAACUGUGACAGAUUGGUAUGGCUGGUAUUGGUUCUUGAAUUGCUACAUUUUCAGUCAUUUGCAAUAAAUUUCGUAUUCGGUAAUACCAAAAAAUUGAAAAAAGCUGUAACUUUUUAAAAAAUCUACUCCAAGUUAAAUUUACAGAAAGUAAAGAGGCAAAAUGUGAAUAGUGAAUACCGAGUCUAACUCCCUAAGAGGCUAAGACCUAACCUAAACCUAACUUAUUUUCUCUCGGCCUCUCCCUCGGCCACCUCUGAUUUUUGGGUGUUCAAUUUAGGGUCAAGCCCGAUCCGGUCAAACCGGGUUUUGGAUUACCCGGUGACUUAAUAUGCAAACCCAAACCUGGUUUGAAUCUUCUAAAUUGCUGUGAUUUGAUUUGAGAUGGUCUGAAUAAGUGUAAUAUAAUCUGUUUAUUGCAACCCUCAUGGAGUGAAGUUUGGAGCUGGUGCGCUAGUGAGUUUUAUUUAGAAGAAUAUAACUCCUGUUUCGUUCUCUGUAGCAAGAGAAUAAAAUGGUUAAGUAGUCAGCUCAGCUCAGGCAGAGAAAAGAUAAUGUCUUUUGUUUUGUUAAUUAUGCUUCAUUGUUCAGCUGAAUGCCAAUGCUCUUGCUUUGUAUAAGGAACUGGAACAUCAACUUCCUCUCCUCGGAAACAGGUCAACAAUGCAAUUCCUAACCCAACCCAAAACAUUGCCGUGUCAGUGCGCCAAAAAUCGUUUAAUAAGCAUAAUGGUCCAUCUUCUUCCGAUGGUAGCUCUCCUCAGCCAGCAGCAUCACAAGGGCAUGCAGCCGAGUUUCAUCCGAAUAACCCUUCUCCAAGGGAUCAUACCCAGAGAAGCACUCAGUCACGCAACUCUAGUGAUCAUUCAGGGCAGCAACACAGUUCAUUUAGAAAUCGUAAUGGUGGGACACAUCCUCAGGUAAAUGGCUCUAAUUAUGGGGGUAGGCGUGAUCAUGAUCGUGGGAAUCUGGAUUGGAAUUCUCAUAGGAAUUUCAAUGGCAGGGACGGGCAUGUGCAACCACAGAGAAUAGGGCCGAGGUUCAUGAGGCACCCACCUCCACCACCUCCUGCUUCUACACCUUUCAUAGCAUCCCCACCGGUGCGGGCUUUUGGUAGUCCCAUGGGUUUCCCUGGUAUACAUAUCAACUUCUCUACAAACACAAUGACAAAGAAGUCAGUUUUAGCCUUUGUUAUCACUUUCUAUGUUUAUCAUUGAGUUGAAAAUGAUCGUUAGAUCUCUGUAUAUUAUUUAUUACAGUCAUGAUAUGUCUGUUGGCUUUCAUUUUGUGUAUGUCUGUUGGCUUUCAUUUUGUAAGUUGAGGUUCUUAUCAUGGUCAUAUAUGUAAAAGAUGUCGUCUUUCUUCUCUACAGGAGAUAUUUGUUUGGAUUCGUAUGUUCCUUGUUUAAGGCUAAGCCAUAUUACUCAAGUAUUCUUUUGGGUUUGAGCAGGUUUCGCAACUGACAGAUAGUAUUCCACUGAUAUUGGAUGCUUUAAGGAGUUCUUCCAUUGUGGUGGAAGUGCAGGUAUAGAUUCUCUUCCGACUUUUGAUUUCUAGGGUUCAACUUGUGUUCCAUUACUGAUAUAUUUUGUGAUAAAGUAAGACGGAGGACCGACUGGAUGAGGUGGUUGUUGCGAACAUCUCAGUUCCCAACCGCUACAAGUCCUCACGGAGUCGGGGAGUCCAGUGGUCAAGACACGAUUUCGGAUAAAGUGCAGAACAUGUCUUUGGAAGAGAAGGCGACUGAGCGGAGUCAAAGUACAUCUAUAUCUGAAUAGCAAUGAAUGCACAAGUCAAGUUAGUCACGAUGGAGAUUUCGAUAAAUAGCCUCACACUUGGCAAGGAGUUUGAAGUGUGAAGUGUGUUCUGAUGCACUAAUGGUUGAAGGGAGAAAGUGCAGAAUCGACUAAGGCAUGAAAGGGUCGGUCUCCUACAUAUUUCUGAUGGAAGUGGUCUUGCCUAUAGCCAUCGGAACAUGGUUCUCGGUGAGCUUCUUUUAGAACAUAGGCGGAAGAAAACACAGACUAAACUAUACAAUAAAUUAGAGUAGAAACUCAAGUGAAACAAACCUUUAAUGGGUUAAGAUAGUGAGAUUUUAUUUAUUGGGAUUAUUAUGUGUAAAGACUUUAUGAUUAGGUAUACUUAGUAUUUCUUUUCCACUUGUCUAUAUUAUUUGUCGGUUACUGUAGAUGGGGAAAUUUUGCAAUCUGUAUUGGCCCUCUCCAGCCACACUGGCCCUCUCCAGCCAAAGCUGGUGUUCUUUCAUACAUCAUUUCCUAAGAUUUUGUUAUAUUUAUAAACCCGAUUUUUGCUCGGCUAAUGGUACGUUGAUUACCCAGAAAAACUUGCAAGUGUUUAAGACAAGCUAAACGAUCGACAGUUAGAAGAAAUUACCCAAAUAUGGUGCCAUGGUGGUGGCAAGUGCAGUGUCAUUUCUCGAAUGGUUGUAAAAGCAAGCGAAGCUAAGCUAUUGCACUUAGAGGCACAGGGAAGACGUGCCCUUGCACAAUGUGACCCGACAGCAAUGAUGAUAGUUUCAAACAUGGACCUUUGCACUGCAUUUAUGCUUCAAACCUGGUAGGGUGUUUGAUGGGUCCUAGUCUACUGGUGUAAUCUCCCACUCAGUCAUGCUCAAUGCUCAAGGGUCGGGAUGAUCGAGAAGGAAAACCAACUACUCGGACGAACUAGUUUUCCCGAAAUGUUAUCGACAUCUACGACCAGGAUCAGGCGUGAGCCUCAAUUAGGGAUGAACUAGUGCUGGAUUUUUGUUAUCACUGCCGUAGCUUAAUUUAUUGUUUAUAUUCCUCGCUUCAAUAUACUUGGAAGGAUCAAAUGUGCCAUUUUGAAGUCUUUUUUCAACCUAAGAUCGAUAGCCGUUAAAAUGUGAUCCGACUCAAUCAAGUUUCAACCCGACCUAAACAGAUCAAUAAUUUGAACAAAGGAAAUGAAGAAAUCCAUAACUUGAUUAACCAAAAAAAUCGAGAGAAAUCUACAAACCAAGUGAAUUGUGAUCCGAUUAACUCAUAAUCAGAUCAAAUUGUGACAUUAUGAUAGAUGGACACCCCUAAAGACUAAAACUAACCCAAACCCAAACCCAAACAACAAAAGUAAUUCAUGAUUCAGUGAAGCACUAGUACUUGUUAUACUUUACACAUGGGUAAGAAUAUAAUCAACAUAUAUGGCCUAAAUCUUGAUGGGGAAAAGAAAUCCCAGAUAAUCACUUCUUGGUGUAUACCAAAUCCUUACCCUCCAAGGAUUCCAUCGAUUGUAAAGGUGGCGGCUUUGUUUUUGUCUUCUCAGGACCUGCAGAAAUUUCCAGCUUGUUAAUUAAUACUCACCCUACUGUGAUUCAUGGGGUUUAAAAAUGGCAUGAGAGAAAUAAUAUAUGUACCAUAAGCCCCUCGAAUUUCGACUUCUCGCCAUUCUUGAACUAGUGCACAGCAACAGCACAUCAAAUGAGAGAGGAAAUCGUCAAUGAAGCCUCCCUACAGAAAAGAAAUCAACAAACAUGUGGAACAAGGCUUGAGUUCUUUUGUAUUGUAACAGACUACUAUAUAGUAAGAUGAGACUAAUUAAAAAGGAAGAGGAGAUUAUAUAUUACGGAAAUAUUAAACAUGUUGCGUAGCUUCCUUCUGAUGCAGCAGGUGUAACAGCAACAUGACAGUAUUAAUGAAUACGCCAUCAACUCGUUGCAUGCUUCUGCUGAAGCUGCAAUCACAAAGUUUUAGGUUCUCCAUAUUAGGUUUAAGGAUAUAGUCUAGUGUUACUAUAUGACAAGAGUCCAGCUACCCACUUACACAUGUGCCUGUUUGAUGCUACAGUUGCGAUUUUGGAGAACGUGCCACAAGGAAAAAAUAAUGUCUUUACACCUGCCGUUGAACUCAAAUGAGGUAAAGAGUUCAUCGGCAUUGGCACAACAUGACUUCAUCCUACGACAAGUAAAAACAAUUCAUCGAGAAGACGUACAUAGUAACGGUUCUGAGCAACAACCGAGCAAAUCAGUCUGCCAUUCUUCAUCAUGACUGGAACCUUUUCUUGACAGCAAGUCGUGCCCUGCAGAAACCGAUGAUGUGUCUCUGCAAGAAAGAAAACAGUUCCAGUAUUCUGGAAUUCUUAAGCAAAGAUGCAAACUUUCAAAAUAGUUUCAUUUGAAGUGGUAAAUUUGGCACCAAACUAACACAUUUCAAACCUCUUAACUGCCUGUGGCAACGAUAAGCAGCCACGAAAUCACUGCAUACAGGUUACAAGAUAAAAAGUAUUGAUUUCACCUUGAGAUGGUACGAGAAUCGCUGUUCCUCGAAUAGCUGUUAUCAUAUGUAUGUUCUUUCACAUUCAUAUCUGAGUAGUUAGGCUCCAGUUUCUUCGAAACGGUCUUAGAUGAACUCUUCUCUGGAACCACACUUGCUGCGGCAACUUCUGUCACUUCCAGCAGAUGUUGGAUAACCUCACAUUGGUUCACAUCCAUAUUAGACUGUGACCUCUGUAGUUCAAUCUGUAGCUUUUCACUUUCCUUUUUCAGAGCCUCAUUAAAGCACAUGUUGGGAUAAGAACACGAAAGAGUCUUCUUCAACACUAUGGUUUGGUCUUUCACCGAUUCUGAUUUUAGGAUCAGAUCUUGAACCUUCCUAUCUUCUUCAUCCAAUGUGUACUCACAUUGAUCCCUCUCGAUAUAUUCAAGUCUAUCCUGCAUAUGAAUAUCAAAAUCCCCACAUAUGUUAUUGAAGAAUGCAUUGCCAUGUAUAGAAUAACAUUUGAGAGCUAUUGUUUGAGACUGUGCAAUUUGAGGCAGUGCCACGUGUAAGGAAAAUGGUAUAAGAUCCAUAAUUAACCUUCUCUUAACAACUCGAGUUAUCGGGACACAACAGUUCUCCGCAUGGUAUUAGUGCCUUCUCACUAUCCAAUUUGACUCAGAGGGCCUGAGAUCGAAUAUUGUUAGCCUCAAUAUAACAAUUGCAUAUGCACAAGGCUUGGUGGACUUGUGUAAACUUCAAUUCCCUUUCAUGGGUUUCGUUUGAGGAGGGUGUGUAAAAGAAUGGUAUAAGAUCCAUAGUUAACUUUUUGCCAACAACUAGAGUUAUUGGGAGGUGAGAGAUUGCAACCUAAUCGGCGACUCCAGAUACUUCCAUAACCCUAUUCUAUUUUCGUUUAGUUUCUAACAGCUACAGAACAUAAGUAUACAAUAGAAAGAGAAGAAGAAGAAGAAGGAGGAACAAGAGAGAUACCCUGAUUCGAGUGUUGUCGACGAGGGUGAUGAGAGGAAUGAGGCGCAAGUAGCGAUCAAUCUCGUUCUGAGCCUUUCUGAACUGGUAAACAAUGUUCCAACCCAUAGCAAGCAAGUAGAGAUAGCUUCUGUCCUGGCAGCUGUUCACCAAAAGGAAAGACUUCCUGAGUGAAUCUUCAAGCUGUUCUAGUGGCUCCCUUGUUUCAGGAUACUUUUUAAGUUCCGAGAUCUUAAGCUGCUCCAAUAGUCCCCCAAUCAACUUGAGAUGCUGAGCAAACCGUCUGCAGUUCUUCUUGUGCAUUCUGGCUGUGCUUGCAGCUUUGACUAUCAGCCCAAUUAGCCGCACCGCAUCAACACCUGUGAUCUGUGCCACAUUUGCAAUCUCCCCAAAAUUACCCCACGCUGCCAUCCUUCCUCCUCCUCAAAGAUUAUGCAAAACUCAACCUGCUCCAAAGAUGCUAAUGGCCAGUUAUUCAGAAACCCAAACAAAACUCUCCACUUUUUUCUUGAAGCCAGGUAGAGCAUUAUGGAAAAACAAAAUCCAAAGAUUUCAACUUUACAGCAAAAUUUGCAGACACGGACUGAAAACUUCAAGGUUUUGUGUUUUUCUUAAACCGGAAGAGCAUUAUGGAAAAACAAUCAAAAAAGUUGCAGACACUAACUGGAUUUUGUGUUUUUACCUCUGACGUCUAGACGAACUGGUUCAGCAUAAGUUAUGCAGUAACAACGAGAAGUCAACAUGAGCAAUUUGAUCUGAGCUAAUUCUUGGGCUUCAAGCUUCUCAGACGGGAAGCAAAUAUUAGCCUUGAGAGCAAUAGAUUUGCAGAAGAAGUGGCUUCAUAGGCUGCAAAGGGACCACAAAGCAGCAAUAAAGAACCAGCAAGACCGUUGAGAGAGUGGGGUAAAAACAAGAAAGCAAAUCAGCAAUGAGAAAUCAUCCAUAAGCUUCUUGACUCGCUUUAGAAAGACAGACUACCCCAGUAAAAAAACAAAGCAAGAGGGAAAGAUGUAACGUUGGGUGAAAAAUCAAAUGUCUUGAAAAAUACAGCAAUACCCAGCAUUUAUUUAGAGAUUUGGACUCGCACCCUUUCUUCUUCUGAAUUAAUGUCUUGGGUCGCAGGGAUCCAGCAAAGUUGAAUCGGCCCACGCCGAAGAAGAAAGGAGAGAAGCGAGAAGAAAGACACUUUCAAUACUGAAGCUUGAACCCUGCAAUGGACCGGAAAUGGCUACUGGAACUAUGGAAGAAGAAAAGGGAAGGUGAAAUUGAAGCAACGGGAGGUCGGGGUUGAGGAGGAAGACAAACUCUUUGUUUUUUUUUUGGUUUAUGAACUUGGAAGCAUGCAAAUGCGGCUCCACAAAUUUCAAGUCUUUUUCUGUUUGUUUAAUCGGAGAAUGAGGGGUGGGGGGAAGCAUUGAAUUCUGAGAAAGGUAGACAUGGCUUUGAGGGAAAAAUUGGAACAAACGAAUCUCCUGAUCAGUGAUCUCUCUCUGUCACUCUCACUCUCACUCUCACUCUCACUCUCACUCUCACUGUGCAAUUUGGAAGUAUGCGCAGGCAGAGCAGUGAGAAGACUGAGGAAGAAGGUGAAGGAGAAAUACGGGGAGACGACGUUUGUAGUCUUGUAUAGUUGUAUCCCCACCCACCCACGCACCCAUGUUUCUAUUUUCUCACUGCCUAAAUAUUAUGAAGUUUGGUUUGCUACUGUGUUGUCUCGCCUUAACCUCUGGACAAACAAAUCAUAACACUCUUUUUUAUCCUAACUAUUAGGACAUUUCAGAGCCGUUAGAUAUUGUUAUUAAUCAUCUGAAGGUUUAAAAUAGUCAAUAAAUAAAUACUUGAAUUAAACAAGUGAAAAACUGUAAUUUAUUUUAUUAAUUAUUUUUAUUAGUUGCCACCUCUCACAAACUGAUUUUUUCCCCAUGAUUUCAGUAGGGUUUUUACUUCUUUAAUAUUUAAUAAUAAUUUUUUUGAAUAUGUUUUACUAAUUUCGAAAUAAGUCGUAACACUUAUUUUAGCCUUUUUAAAAAUUUAAAUUAAUUUAAUGCAACUAAUUUUAAAAAAGAAGAAGGUAUAAAUUAGUAAUUAGAUACCCAAUGUGAAAAUUUAUAAUAAUUGAGCUGAAUUUAUUAGCUUAGUUCAAUAAGAACUAGCAACAAAACUAAAAGAGUAGAUACAUAAAGGAACAAGAAAGAAAAAUGGGAAAAGAAGUAAUGGUAGCAAAAAUGAAGAGAAUAGAAUUAGAACAAAAACAAGGAAACUAAUGCGGUAAAAAUUGCCCCAAACUCAGCCAACAACAAAGGAAUUCGAAGCUCUCUCAAAAUGCAGUUUUUUUUGUUAUGCUCGUAUUUUGUUUAGUAGUCGGAUAUAUUUUUUUUAUCGAUUUCUUCACCUAUUUUUUGAGUGUGGCCCUAAAAAAUCAAAUGUAAUCAAAUAGAACUUAUCAAACCGGCCGUCAGAGGUACCAUUUGACCAGAAGAGGAAGAGAGGAGACAACGGUGGAGGUGAGGGUGGUGGUGACGGGAGCGACAACCAGUGAAGGUGAAAGAGGUAAAAUUAUGUUCGAAUUGGGGGGUGGGGGUUGGUUUUUAAGCAUAAAGAUCAAAAUGUAUUCACAUAAUUUUACGUGAGGAGAUUUAAAUUUAGGGUGUUUUUUCAAAAAACUUAGGGCAAUCGAAUAACAAUUCCUCUUGAAGAAACAACACAGUUGAUAUAUUCUCUCUUCAACAUACAAAAUACACUUUAGUUAUAGAAGUGGUGGAUUAAUUUUGCUCAAGGUUUCGAUCUUUUAUUUUAUGAAAUGACGCAGUCGGAAGACAAGAAGAACUCGCAAGCGUAGUUCUAAAAGAUAUUCAAGUUUGCCAGUAACAAACUCGAAAGAUAAAAUUCUGAAAUCCACUAAAAAGAAAAACUCCUUGAAUUUAUUAUUCAAUAGAAGAUAAGAGACAUGACUACUAUCAAUAAUGUCUUUAAAUACUAAUUCUCUACCUAAAAUCUACUAGAAUAAGAAAAAAUAAAGAAAGUCUAAACCUAUUAGGAUAUGAAAAAUCAAAUAAUAUUUUAAAUAUUAAUUAUUUGACUAAGGCCUAUCGGGAUAAGGAAAAGGACUAAAACCUAAUAAAAUUAGGAAAAGAAUUCAAAGCCAACUCUUCUUCGAUCCAGGUCGUGAACUCACUGCAUAAAUCUCCUCCACCCAUAAAGAACUCGACCCCGAGUUCGUACUAGGAUAAGGCGCAACAUUUUAAUUUGAAAGGCCCAUACUUACGAGGUUGUAGCUUUGAGUAAGUGUCAACGUGAAACCGCUUCUUUUGGAGGGACACCAUCAUAGCAUCACCCACUCCAAAAACUUUAGUGCACCGGUGCACAUAAGCAUUAACUUUGUUUUUUUGUCGGGUAGCUACAAACUUCGUCUUAAUAGUGUCCUUAACAGCAAGCACAUCUCCGGCCAUGUUUUCGGCUGCGUGGCUCCCGCUGGGAUCCCAUUGAUUCAGCUUAUCCUCACAAACACUUCGAAUCAUAUUUCCCAUAUUUCUGUUGGUGACCUCUGUUUGCCCAUUCGUCCGCGGGUGAGCCGUUGAGCUCCUGUUUAGUGCAGUACCAUACAUCCGCCAUAGAGUGAUCCAAAAAAUGGUUGAGGAAUUUGGUGUCACAAUCGGACGUGAUAGACUUGGAAACUCCAUGCAAACGCAUAAUUACUUUGAAAAAAAGCUUGGUAACGUUGGACGCAUAGCUUUGAGGAGGGACGAGAAAACUGUCCUUAAUCGUUCUCCUAUAGUUGGCUUUGUUGUCGAUGCACAUGAGCCACUGAUUUUUUUUCUUAGGUACUAUGAGUUCCGGCACCACACACGGAAUCAUACUAUGAUCUUGUAUGAAUCCUUCUCCAAUAAGUCCUCAAUUUGUUCUUGUAAUAUUUCGUUCUCCUUGGGACUCAUGUGAUAGUAAGGUAGAUUCUGCACGUUAGAACCUGAAAUCAAGUCGAUCUAAUGUUGAAUAUCAUGAAAAGGUGCUUUCUUGUCUGAGGCCACAUACUCCAAAAGCCCCAAGACAUGGUCCAAGGCCACCUUCUAGGCUGAAAAUCCCAGAGAUGAAGCAGAUAGCUGCAGUACUGUUUCAGGAUGCUGCAUUCCCACCAAGAUGCGUGGUACCUUCUGCUAUCUCAAAACCCAUGUGCAAGUCUUUGGCAUCCAAUCGUGUUCUCUUGUAUGAGGAUGAGCUGUGUCAGGCAGUUGCUCAAAACAAACUUCGGUAGUCCACUUCUUAUCUUCAUAGACUUCUGUUUCAUCCUUUUUGUAUAGUUUCUUUUAGCUCUUUCUCUGCAAGUCUAUUAGUUUAAGUUAGCAUAGUCAGGAAAGGUGGUUGGUAAUUUAGUUGCAGCGGUGGGUGGGCUAAAAUAUGGAUCUUGUGCCUGCAUUAGGAUUUUGAAAGGGUUGGGAAACCAGUGUGUAGUGCAAUAACCAGAGCUUUUGAAGCUAGAUAGGCUGCAUAUUAUUAUGUCUAUAUUUUAUAAACUGGUUUUCAUCUAUUGAUGGAGAUGUCAAGCUCCUGAACUUAAAUAUGAUGUGAGAGUAAGGUCGCUGUGGUCCAUAUUAUCAUUUGAUAUCCAGAUUUAGUGACUUGUCUUGUUCAAGUAGCCAUUCCAUUCAUGUCUCAUGGAUGGGUGUUCAGUGUUUAAUGAGGCACAGCUGGCUUAGCCAACGACCAAAUGCGACGUUCAAUUUCUCAAACUAGCUUUCUUUCAUACCCAGGCGGGAACCCUUUAGGUUCGAGAGUGAAAAAAACAAAAGCGUUCGGUUUUUUAUUACUGGUUUAGGUGCUAGAGUGAAAAAAAAAACAUUUAGAAUAGACUUGUAGGAGGUAGGCUAAUCCGAGAUUAAUGGUCUGUUUGUCAGCUGGAAUGUGGGAUGGAAUCCUGAGCAUUUUUACAUUUGUGGAGGAAAUUUAGAUCCUAACGAAGUGCAUUUUGAGAUUUAGCUUUUUCAUUUUCGUCCAAAUUUCAUUCCUGCAUUCCACCUUGCAAAUGGUUACUCAGUCGAGUCUGGUGUUUAUCUUCGAUCAAUGUGGUCGUUUUGGUCAGUUGCUGAUUAUUUAAUAGUGAUGUUGACAAACUAAGUCGCUUUGUGUUUGGUUCGAAAAAUGAAUCAGCUUGCGAGCCGACUCGAUGAUAAAUUAGCCAAACUUAACCCGACUCUAGCUCUGCUUGCUCAGUUUAUGAGCUCGAUGAGCUUUGCUCCCUAGCUUGUGAGUCAGCUUGAUUUUGGCUCGAUAGAUGUGGCUCGCGAGUUGGGCCCAUUCCAUAGGUUAAUUAUGAACUUGCGAGCAGGCUCAUGGUUGACUAGGUAGUCGAGAAUGAGGUUCGUGAAAUCCUAAACCGUAAACUUUGCUUAGAAUGUCAAACUUAUACACAUGCGUCACAAAUCUUCUUUAGUAGGUUUUAGAUGAUUCGUUUUCAUUUUGAAUAUAUCAACAAAUCCGAUUUUAGAGCCGAGUUCGAGCUGACUCACCAACAUAACUCGACGUCAGGAUACCAUUUCCAACAGUAAAAUGAAACGAGGUUGAUGUUUCGACCAAUAUUAUUUGAACCACUGAAAACGAAUGAAUCAACCAAAAUCCGAGUUUUUUCAGAGCAGCUUGUUCAGAACAGGGCCGAAGAGCUUAUAAGUAAGAGUCCUGGAAGCUGCUUCACUGGGAUGGAAACUGUCCCAGAACAAGUAUCUGGAUGCAUCAGGGCAAGUCCCAGGAAUAACACACAGUAUCCCCGUUUCCAUGUUCCCCGUCGCGCAACACCCUCUUAUAACCUCAUCAAUCCCUGCGCAGAAAUGAAAUUAAAAGAAAUUUGAAUUACAAAAGAUUUCAGACUCAUCAUAGCUCAAAGAAAUGGGUUUGGCUAACCAACCGUACGGAGCUGGAUUUUGAAUGACAGCAAGCAACGAAUAGUAGAGGUCAACGAACACAAUCCUAGCUUCUGGAAGCUGUUCAUUCAUCCUGUCAACUACCAAAGACAGUUUGGAGUUGAAAAGCCUUAUUCGUCUAUUAAGAAUCUCAGCACACUUUCUCUCUUCUCCUGAAGCUAUAACUCUCAGUGCUGGCACACACCCCGAGGGAGGUACGCUCGUCACUGCAAUUUUUCGCGCUCCAACCGCGUAUAAUUGCUGGUUUUCAUUUUUCGCAAUCUCCUCGGUAUUAGAAUGUUGCUUAUAAGUUAUAACAUAGAAUCAUAGGAUCGAAACUUUUUUUUUCAGUAUGAAGAGCAAACCUGAUGGAAGUCUACGACAUGUCGGAUCAUUAUAUCAGUGUAGGAAUUCUCGUCGACCUCGGACCUGACCAUAGGGUAGAACAAGGUGAGAUCGUUGCUUCCCAUGAAUGUUAUGUAUGCACUUUCAGAUACGAUGGACCAUGUUUUCGUUUCUCCGACACUUGCAUUCGCUUUGCUGAUGUAUUCUCGAAGCAAAUCCAACUGGCCCAGGAGCGGUAUUGCUCUCUUCUCUCAUGAAGAAAGAAAGACACUAAUGACGUUAUUAUUAUUGUGUUGCAUAUAGAAAAAAGAGGGAGGUGAAACUGAACAAGGAGAUUACAGUGAAUUCGGAUGUUCGAGGGUCGAAACCAGCACCGGCUGAAGCGAAACAGACUCCAGUAAGGAGUUCUGGCAGCUCCAAGUUUGGAUCCAGAUAAGGUGGAAGCAGUGGUUUCACUUUAAAAAAUUCAGCUGAAAUGAAGUAUGUUUUGGUGAGAAGUUGGGAGUUGGAAAAUUUUGGGAAAGGGUAAAUGAAAAGCAGAGAAGUUGACGUGUUAUUUACCUAAGAAGUCAGAGAUGCAUCUGCCAUUGCUGAAGCGUCCCGUUGCUAUUUGAGAAGGGAAAUCUCUGCCGUAUGGUGGGAAGUUGCUCCUUCCAAUGGUGGGGAUGUAAUUGUUGUUCCCGGUAUCAACCACCGAGUCUCCAAACACAAAUACAGCUGGAACAUUAUUAUUGUUACUGUUACUGAGUUUUGCUGUCACUGAAAUCACCAGCAGUGAUAAGAUAUUCAAGAGCACAACAUGAUGUCUAGCCAUGAGAGAAGAUAGAAUUCUUCAACUUAAAACUUGAUUAGCAUGUUAAGUUUGAUGAGUAAGGAAUCUAUUUGGUUUAGCAACAGAGAGGUGGCUGCGUUAAUGCAUAUCCAACCACCACAUGCAAUUUUCAAAUAAGAGAGGAAGAAACACUUGAACAUAAAUACAAGUGUGGAAACCUAGCUUAUCAGCACUAUAUCGAGAAUUUCUUGCCUAGUUCGCCUCUGGUGACUAUCUUCAAGCAAAGUGGUCCUUUUGGCCUUAAACAGAAUUUGACAGUGAUCUCAUUUGUCACAAUCAAAUCAAAGAAUCAAUGUAUGGACCAAAUGAAAAUGAUGCUUUCAUAUAUUUGCAUCAGCAAUACGGUAUUUUCCAGAACAGCAGAACAACUCAGCAGGCACCAUGCAUGCACUAUCGAUCCCUUGGCGGAUGAAAAUCUGCGAUCGAAGCGCUUUCUCACUGUAAUCAAUGCCAUUUUUGUUCAACAAGCUGAUUGCACAUAAGCAAAAGAAGAGCAAAAGCUGGAGAUCUGAAUAACCAAAGGCAGAGUAGCAUAACCAAGACAAAUCAUGAAAAGUCCGUGAGCAUAACCAGUCCAGCGACUUUGAAUAAUCUACAACUGGGAUUCCAUUGGCGAUUAUGAGUGUUAUUUGAGUCUCUAGGUAAAGCUGAGUCAAGAUUAUGAAAUGAAGAGAGUAACUGACCUGUAACAGCAUGGACAUGAGGGAGGCUUGAGAAACUGAUUGACAGUUAGAUCACCUAGAUAGAAGAAUCCCUGCUGUCUGAGUUGUGAAUAUAUUUCCAUAUGGAAUUUUGUUGUAUUAUUAUCUGUAAUAAUAAGUAACAUGGGUGAUACAAAGAUUCAGUAGAGAAACAAAAGCUUCCCAUCCAAAACCCCCCGAGCAAAACUACAAAACUAGACUACUUCUAUGGCUAACUUGAGCGUUUCCCCUGCAACCAGAUCAAGCGCCGAUCAGCAGUAAGGGACAUGAAUAAUUCCCUCUUGUUCCGGAAAUUGAACAGAUCGAGUGCAGCACAAUAGACGUUUUGGUCGAGAACACCUUCCAUCCCAUCCAGAGCUUUAAUGCAAUCUGCCAUACUAUACUUGUUUUCCACAUCAUUCGCUACCGUUGUGUACAAUCUCGAAGCAGCUGCCAUAUGCUUCAUCCCCGCUGCAAUUGCAUCAUCCAUACCCUUCCUUCCUCUUUUCUUACUACGAGCUGCAGUAGGUCGAAUCGUUCUGUUGGUAUAGGGUUGAUCACCUGUCUCUUCCGUUUCCUCUGAUGCCGACGACAACUCUUCGUCCUCCUUUACAACAUCUGGAGGCUGAUGCUCAAAGGAAGACUCCUGACUGUGUCUUCCAUUAGAUGAUACCACGGGGCUGGAGAAUAUCAAGCACAGUUGAUUGUAGAAUGGGCAACCAUUGUUUCUUAUCUGCUCAGCAUCCGGGUGCUCCUAUUGAACCAGUAAUGCUACUGUUAGCAAUUCAACAUAGAAAUCAAAAUUGCAGCAAGCAGAAGUAGUUACUAGUAAGGCAAUAUUUGAUCUCUAGAAUGAUCUUUCCUAUGAAAGUUGAAUUGGGAUUAGUAGAAGGAAGCUGAGUUGAGGUUGAUGCAUCUUGUGGAAGGAAAAUUGGAUUGAGGCUUGGUUUGGAAACAAGAAUCGCGAUUCCUAUGAAGGUUGAGUUGAGACUAACGGAAAAAAUUUGAGUUCGGAUUGUGAAACGACUGUUAAAUCAAAGGAUAUAACGGAUUCCCAGGGAAGUUCCGUUUUCAUUGGAAAAGAUUCAGACCAUUUGGAAUCCUUAAAUUCCUUAAACCAAGUUUCCUUGAACAAUCCCUUCCAACCACAACUCAACUAUUUUCACUAUAUUAACUCAACUUUCCUAGAAAUGAAAAUUGUUGUUGCCAAACCAUUCUCUUUAUGUCACUCUAUUCAACUUUCCUCCAACAACCUCUCCAAACCUCAACUCAACUUUCUAAGACUAACCUCAAUUCAACUUUCCUAGAAAAACAUGAUUCUCCAUGUCAAAACUUAUCUAACACUUACCUUAAGGUAGUCGGCCCAAGCAUCAUCAUUGGCAGCUACAACAGUGCCGGUGGAUUCAUCAAAGCGGAAGCCAGUAUGAUCCAGGAGUGGCUUAACAAUGGCGUACUGCUUCUUCAUGAGGAUGUGUUUACUCUUGAGUUGCUGUUCACCCCAUUUCAGACCCGUUUUCUGGUGGAAUUGUUGGGUUAUGGACUCCCAAGCUUGCUUCCUGAAAGAAGUUCUGGUUCUGUUCCCUCGUUGAACUUCGUCCACCAUCAACUCCGCCACUAUCUUGGUAAGGUCAUUUGUCCACCUGGCCCGAGAGGGUUGCUGCUGGUCAUCCUCCUGAACUGCUCGUGAUUCUCUCCCGUAUCGAGUUACACGGUUAGGUGUCGUCAUUGUCUCUGGAGAUAUUUUGUCCAAUUUCAUUUACAUAAAUCAGGAAAACGAGUUGACCGCAAAUUGACGAGCGCCAUUGAUGAUUCUAUUCAUUCAAAUUCCAGGAAACCCUCAUAGGUCUAUAUCUCUCAGUAUAUAAAAAAGGAAUCCUCAAUAACACAAUCACAAUGAAUUGGAACCGGGAACCCUUACCAGGUAAUGCAGAGGCGAGUGAAGUUAACUCCAAGAUUAUCCGACUUGCUGUUGGGGAAUUUGUCUGAUCGAGCAGCAGAGAGAGCCCUGGAAUUCCACUCGGCUCCAUGCGAAGUCAGCAUAACUCAUAAGCUGUUCUCCUCCCUAUGGGCCACCAUUGAGCCCAUUUCCCCCAUGAUAUUCUUAUAUUCAAGAUACAAAUAUGAAAAUCAUAACAUUUGACUUGGUUGGUUGCUCGCUCUUAGGAACAAAGUAUAUUUUAUGAUCAAUUAUUUAUCGUGAUAAAAAAAUUGAAUAUUGUUAUCGAUAAAACAACUAAUUAAAAAAAAUGUAAAUAUGAAAGAUAGGGUAAUUAAGUUGAAAAAAUUUAACAUCUCACCUAUUUUAGAAUUUUAUAUUUUAGUCUAUAAUUAGAUUUGUAACCAAUCCAUACUUAAUUAGAAUGUAAUGAUGUAAUUCUUUGGUUUAAUUUCCAUCUAUUUGUCACUGAGGUGACAUCCAAUCAUUCAUCCCAAUGAGUUAAAAUACUAGAAUUUUAUUUAUUUAUAUAAAUAAAACAUAAAUAAAAAAUAUUCAUUAAAAACAAAGAGGUUGAAUACAUUGCUAUUCCACUACUUGUUAGUACACUAUUGUUUCGAGUUAUGAGCUGACAGGUUUAACCGUUUUCACCUUCAAAAUUUAGUUGAUCAUUCCGAUCUGUCUCCAAGUUUUGAAUUCAGCUUGGAUAGUUGAAAUAUAUCCAAAAUUUCGAUUUUUUUUGGAAACUGCUUCAUCGAAAUCUUCCAACUAUAGAAGUCUUGCGCAAAAGGGUAUAACUCUCCCAUCAGACUUCUCAGUUUGCCAUGGCCCUUUGGUGUCACACGAGCAUCUCCUUUUUACCUUUCCUUUCGCCUUGAAGUUCUACUCUAUGUGUGGCUUACACCCAUCUCAACUCUCAGAUACACAUUUUGUUUACUUAUGACGGGAAAUCCUAAUGGAUCAGUCUCAUCUUGCUUCUAUUUGGGUUCUCGCUUGAUGGAGGCUGUAGAAAAAUUAAAAAUGGGUUGUUUUUUAUCGGACUCAAUGGAUGUCGUCUAAGUUAUAUUGCCAGUUCUGCUGGCAGGUGACAGAGUUGCACCACUUAUUGUCGGACCCAGCUCCUUCUAUGGUUUAAACAAGCUUGGCUCCUUUUUCCCUGCCUUCCUUGAUCCCCCUGCUUCCUCAAGAUUUAAGGUCAAUGUGGACGAUACAAUAUGGCGAGGAUCCGGAGGGGCGGCGGGAUGGGUUCUCUGGGAUGCGAUGGGGACGGUGCUCCAUGCAGUGGGCAAGCCCUAUCCUGGUUUGUUUGAUCCCUCAAUUUCAGAGUUGCUGGCUAUGCAUGAUGCCAUUAUGUGGUGUCUUCAGUUUUUUUUGCAGGUGACUUUGAGGGAGAUGCAGAAGGAGUGGCGACUCAGAUUCGAGUUAGGCACUUUAGGUUGGCGGUUGGCGGUUUUGUUGCCGUAGAGAUUUGUCAGCUUCUCUCCUCCUUGCCAAAGGCCCGCCUCCUAAUUGUUCGAUGGUCAGGUAACAUAAUUCUUUAUUUUGUGGCGCGCGAGAUUUUUAAAUAUCACCAGAAGUGUUACCGAUAAUCCUCACUCUCUAUGUUGAUUUGUAAUUUGUUUGUACUUACUAUCUUUUUGCAUUCACAAAAAGCUAUCACGAAAAAAAAGGUUAAAUACAUUCGCCACUCAAAUUUGUUCACUCUACUUAUUUUGUUAACGAACUCCUAACUCAAGUUUUGGACAGAUAACGAAGGGGCGAUUCCGUCAACUUCCAUAUUCCAAAUAUCUGUUAGAAAUAUGAUGUGGCGAGCCGACCUCAUUAACAAAUAAUAAACUGAGCCACGUCACUUGGACCUCUCAUUAACAAAAAAUAAUCAAAAAGCAAGAUGAUGACGCAUUGACGCUGAGUUCGAUCGUAGUAAUGCAGGUGAGAUUGAAUUGAAGAAGAAGACAAGUGUAAUUACAGAGGAAGAGAAAUGAGCGCUUCAAAGGGAAAAUAUAUCGGGGCUAUGAAGAGAACAGGCACCACAUUUCUCCCCCGAUUCCUCUCCUUCUCUUCUUCCCAAUCUGCCAUUUUCUUUCUCUGUGCACUAACUCUCUCCUAUUUUCUUCUUCUUUCACUUUCCCUCCCCAUCUCCCACUUUUGUUUCCUCUAACUCCACUCUUGUUCUUCUACUUUCUAGUUACGUACAGAGAAAUUCUAGUUUCUUCUUCGUCUUUAAUUUCUAGCUGAAAAAUAUACCCUCUGUUUUUUAUUCUGUCUCCAUGAAUCCAUGUGGCCUGUAGAGCUUGUGGCGGUCGUGUUGGCCGGUGGUGGUGUAGUCGUGUGUUAUCAGGACGAGCGUCGACCUCAGGCGAAGAUCUGAGGCUUCAAUUUCAUUAAAAGUUAUCUGUUUUCUAAUCUCUUAGUUUUUUUUACUUGCAAUCGAGAAAAGCGUACAAAUUAUAAGGUGGAGAUGAGCGCAUCAAGGUUCAUCAAGUGUGUCACCGUGGGUGAUGGUGCUGUUGGUAAAACCUGUCUCUUGAUUUCUUACACCAGCAACACUUUUCCUACGGUAUGUAUGUGUGUGUAGCUACUAGCUAAUUAUGGCACAAUACUUACUUGAAAUAAAGCCAUGUAUUUGCAAUGAUUCGCAAUAUUUCAUCCAGACAUCCACUUAUUAACUCUUUGUUUCAUGGUUCCAAUGCGUGCAGGAUUACGUGCCUACAGUUUUUGACAAUUUCAGUGCAAAUGUGGUUGUGAAUGGUGCCACUGUCAACUUGGGUUUGUGGGACACUGCUGGUAAUGUGUUUCUUGUAUUCAUUUAUACCUACACUUCGAUCGAUCAUAUUUACACAUAGAUUCCAAACUUUAGUUACUUACUUGUUGCAGGGCAAGAGGAUUACAAUAGGUUAAGGCCUUUAAGUUACCGUGGUGCAGACGUUUUCAUCUUGGCUUUCUCACUCAUUAGUAAAGCUAGCUAUGAAAAUGUUUCCAAGAAGGUCUGGAUUGGAUUGGUUGUGUUUAUUUUGUUUGAAUUUUUUGACAUGCUAUGCUACCAACCGUCGGUAGGAUUAAUGCCGCUUAAUAAAUUUUCAGUGGAUUCCAGAGUUGAAACAUUAUGCACCUGGUGUCCCAAUUAUUCUAGUCGGAACAAAGCUUGGUAAAGAAAGAACAAACUCGACUAUUAAUGUCAAUUCAAUUUAUUAACCAUACACUUGCUUAGUUAUACGCUUCACAUGAUCCCAGAUCUUCGAGAUGACAAGCAGUUCUUUAUUGACCAUCCUGGUGCUGUCCCUAUUUCGACAACUCAGGUUAGUGAUACUAUGCACAGUAAAUUAAGAUUAUUUAGUUGUGAAGUGUAUAAAAAGGUAUGCUUUAAUUUAUUAUGUUGUGUUUGCAAUAGGGUGAAGAACUUAGGAAGCUCAUUGGGGCACCUUCAUAUAUUGAGUGUAGUGCAAAAACACAAGAGGUGAAAAUGGAGUUCGAUACUUGUGCUAGUUUCUCAUUUGAUUUUUGAUGAUUUGGUUGUUGAUGAGUGUGAAGUAGUAGUGCAGAAUGUGAAGGCGGUUUUCGAUGCGGCAAUUCGGGUUGUGCUUCAACCACCAAAGCAAAAGAAAAAGAAGAACAAAGCCCAGAAAGCCUGUUCUAUUUUGUGAUUCCAAACAUGUAUUAAAAUCUAAUCAAACCAUCAGUAAUACUUGUCUUCCUUAGUUAAUAACUGUCAUUAACAGUACUCGAUACUCUUUUUCUGCAGUUGGUGCGGUGUCCAUGAAGCAUCAGCUGGUUCUGGUCUUCGUCAUCAUCACUCUAUUGGGAUCUUUAGUUGUUUAGAAAUUGCCUUUUAAUUUACUACCUAUAAUUAAUUUUCCCAACCUUUUGUUUCAGUUCUUCUUGUCUUUAACAUGAGUUUUUUGCUAUGGUUUUUUUGUUAUUAUUUUUAAUUCUUCCUCUUUUCCAAAAAUUGGAAUGCUCCUUCUUCUAUUUUGUAAGGACUCAUGUCUUAGCUUCAAGAAUAUUGCAAAACCAAAAUUAAAUCUGUGAGUGUUAGCAUCUUCAACCUCUAGCUCAUCAACAAAAAAAUAUGCACAUUUCGUCGCGGAAUACUGUUUCGCAACAAAAACAAAUCGAAAAAUGAACACUUGUCAAAUAAGAAGCCUAUUGGAAUCCAGUUUGCCUCGCUAAGUACUGCUGCUGUAAGUUCAACUCAAUAACAGAACAAAAUAACUGUUAGUGCUGAAUGUAAGACUCUGAAGCAACUGUGCUACUGGCUCCACUAAGGUAUUGAAACCGAAACAAACUGCUUCUUCACGAUACUAUAAUCAAUAGGAUUGUACCUCAAGAUAUUGACAGAUCAGUCAAGAAAACCUUUGCUGAUUUCUACUGCAAAAUGUUAAGAUCCAAUGAUGAAAGAUCGGUUCUUUGGGCGUCUGGUGUAGUUUUUAAUAUUUGGUGAAAUGUGCAGGAUUAUGAGCUUCAGAGACUGUCGUUCUAAGUGUUCUGUGAUUGUAUACUUGCAAUAGUUUUGGAUCAUCUGAUUACAUUUAUCAAAUCUUUACAAAAUUUGACACUAAUAUACUAUAUUAGUUGUUAGUAAAGCAGUCUUUAUUUAAAAAGAUGAUGAAAGUUACAGCCGCUUAGCAAAGAAAAAAACACACAGAGAUAUCAAGAGAAAGUCAGCAAGAAUGUACGGAUCUCCAUGGGAGCAAGCUCAACAAUUUGAGCGGAAGGAUCAAAGGGUCCUCCUCUAAGAGGUUUCCUCUCAUUCCCUUUAUCUCCUUCAACUAUCCAACUCAUUCUCUUUAUAUUAGACUUCUCCUGGUUUCCUGAUAAACUCAUUUCCUUCACUCCCUUUAUCUGCCGUAAACAACGUAAUAUUUCCAUCAACAUCCAGCUAUAUAUGCUACCUUUCUUUAAUUUUAUGGGUUUGGUUUUGUAUACAAAUCAUACCUGUUUCCCAGGAAACAACUUCUUCAGUUCGACUUUUGCUAGUGACGAAUAUGUAGCAUCCUCCCCUGCCUCAUACAGAUGAGCUAAUCAGAGUAGCACGCUUCCAUCUUCAAGUUCCUGAAAGAAUUUACAGCAGUAGAACAUCAGAGAUAGGGGAUACACUGUCGCAGAUCCAGGGGAGGCUCUUCCAGGCCCCAGCCCAACACGCAUUUAGGUUUAGAACUUCGAUAAUAUGUAUUUUUUUUUUACACUUAGAGGGUUCAUUAGUAUACUUUUUGUAUGCCCCCCAUCGCAUUUCAAUAUUUAUACAAUUUUGGCAUAGUGCAUCCAACAAUCCUGAAUCCGCCGUUGGGGAUACAUGUGCUUAAUGAAUGAAUGAAUGACUGAAAUGGUUGGUUUUUAGCUUUACCUCUAGAGUGAUCAAAGCAACAUUAUGGGGCAAGCUAUAUCCACUGUCCAAUAAUGUUGAUGUGGUCAAGUGAGUGGCUUUCCAUAACUUGUCAUCCUAGAACAAAACCAGUAACACAUAAUUCCUUUCAACAUAUAGAUGAGCAGCAAGUUUGAAUCUUGUACACAUGAAAUUGUACCAUGUACCCACCUCAUGAGUGAAUGCUAGAAGAAGGGGUGAAUAGAUCUCUUGGCCAGUCGUGCGUCGCCAUGUUGCUCCGCCUCCUAACUUGUCGAUGCUCAGGUAGUAAUUGCCUCGAACCUGAUCAUCAUCAACAGAAUAUAAGUGAACAUUCCUGGUCCAGACUGAUCGAGAGAGACGACGAAGGUGUUUAUAUAUUUUCCAUACAGUUAGUCCUUGACAUGUGAGAGAGUUAUCAACAGACUUGUUCGUCAAGAGGCUCACCCACACCUCUGCCGUCAUCUUGUAGAAUUCUCCUGCAAUUUUUAAGCAAUGUCAGUUCGAGAAGAACUGAAUGAAUGAUACCAUCUAUUAUUCAAUUAUGUGUGUAAGGUGCUGUUGUGGAACCUGUGGAGCAUAAGUUCUAGCUGACCAUCUUUGAUGCUGCCUCCACCAGUGGCACGAUCAACCAGCACAGACAGUUCAGCUUUGGGGUCCGUGAUAUAGGCUCCAAGGUUAAGCUGGAUAAGAAUAUCAGUGACAAAUGAAUGUUAGUGCUAAGCUAGAACUACAUCAAGAUUCCAAGAACUAACUCGUUCGGGGUAAGGUUUGGCAUCUGAAAUCGUGUUUUCUAAGAAAGUUGAGUUGGAGAUAGUUGAAGAAAGUUGAAUCCGAGGUUGGAAGAGAUUCCAAAGUGGAAUUUUGUUUCCCAAGCUACACAAGUGGAAAUUAGACUCUCCGAGGAAUCCUGUAUAUAACUUAAUUCAACUUUCCUCUCACGAGCCCUUUCAGCCCCAACUCAACUACGUUCCACUGAUCUCAAUUCUAACUUCCCUAAGAAACAUGAUUCUAGAUGCCAAACCGUUACCCUGAUCUCAAAUCAACAUGCAUUACCGGAUAAUAGUUUCCUGCAACAGGCUGGUUCACAGACAGGUUCCAGUCAUUUCUUACAUUGCAUACCUGCAGUGACAAUCAGUCCACUUUAGCAUAAGUUGUGGGUUGUGAUGGAUCAAAUAUGAUCAUGGUUCUCAAGUUUACCCUCUUUAGGAAGUCUCUUCCGUUAGAAUCCGUAUAGAACACUUUAUCCGUCACCAUGUUGGCUGUCAACUGAGAGACCACCUCUUUUCCAGCACCGUCAUCAGUUGGAAUCUGACCAAUCUUAAGAAUACACACAACAUAUUCGUGCUCAAUCAAUAUGUGCAGUUAGAAACCGGAUGAACUAUUCGAUAGCCGGUUGAUUAAUGUAGCUAACUUACAGUGUAUUCAAUUUCAGCAUGCUGUUUUGUCUUUGUAAAGCCUUGUAACCUGGUAAAUCCAUGAGCCGAAUUGCUGAUGAAUUUCAUCAGCAAUUGGUCCACGGAUGACCUCCAUGGCGACCUGCAAGUUGAAAAUUUUAAUAAGAUGUUGAAUCACUGAGAAAAAGUAUAUAUACUGUCUUGGAAUAAGAAGCUUACUUUUCUUGCAACAAUAUUUGGAGUGUUUGAAUCAGGCCGGAAAAUGUAGGCACCGGAACUUUGCUGUAAGAACACAGAAUGAUUCCGAUUAUCAGGAAAGGUGACUAGAUAGAAAUAUCAUUUCAUUUGAGGAGGUGAUGACAUUUCAUACCGCUGCUUCAGUACUUGAUGCAUACCAGACAUAGCUUUGUUGUAACGGUACAUCAACCUGCAAAACUUGUUGAUUAUAUAUAUAUAAUCCUCUCUGUCACGAAAUCGAGAUAGCAACGCAAGAAACUUACCCCGGUUACAUUGUUAUACAUCCGAGUGAGUUGUCCGGAAGUUGAUGAAAAUGACAUCUUUAGAUUCCCAGGUCCGAUUUCAACGACAUCAUCGACUGCAGUGCCCUUGACUGAGUAACUGUUUCUCGUUUUCGCUACAAGAUUAGACAAGUGGAGACGAAACGCAUUAAAAAAAACCGUUCCUCAGAUGGCUAGGGUGACUUAGAACUCCAAGAUUUGGUAAUUACAAAACGCAUUAAAAAAAACGUUCCUCAGAUGGCUAGGGUGACUUAAAACUCCAAGAUUUGGUAAUGUUUACCAAUAUCAGGUGCCGUGGACAGGAAGUAAGUGCUCCAACCAAGUGGAGGUACUGAUACUUGGAAGACAAGCCAGCUCUUUGGAACUUGGUCGGAUGAUUUCCCUGUGUAGGCCUUCAAGUAGAAUUUCCUCAAGUUGUUCGUGAGAUUAUCCAUGCUUAUGUAUUGUGAUUCGAUUGCUUUGCCCGAAGAAAUCAGACACGACAAGGGAAGAAUCAUUGACCUAAAGAGAAAGUAAUUAUGAACUCUUAUCCAGUCAAAUCUAUGUCACUCAUACAGAAAUGCUUGCGAAAUGAAACAAGUUGCUUGCACUUACGGGUAUUCUCACGAUAUCUGUCCGAUUCCAUCGAAGCGGGUUGUACACAAUAACAACCUGAGACUCAAAGAUUGUGAUAUAAGAACUAGGGUUACCAACUCAGAUAGCAGUAUGAACAUGUCCAUACCAGUGGCUUUCCGCUUCCUGCUUCUGUCGUUGGUUCGCAAUAACUGAUGUUCAACAAUUGGCACUGCACUAAAAGUGAUUUGGUCUGGCUAAACUGCAUCUUCCUAGUCAGCUACAAACUUACGUCAUUAGAGAUAAUUUGGUUUAAAAGGGAUUAUAAAGAACAAUAACCAGUUACAAAAAACAUACCUGGCUGGAAGUCUUAGCCAGGGAUCCACAUUGACCUCUUGUCUUCUUACUUACUAAGCAUGUAAGUGCAGCACUCACAGUCAUUUCCGCCUGCAAUGUAUUUCAAGACAGCGAUCGAAAACAGGAAAUUUCGAUAUCAUAUUACCAACUCACAUAAUGUGAAUUGUGAAAGUGAACAAAAACUAAGACUUGGUUUGACAGGUGAAAAAUUGGAUAGAAUUUUGAUGACUUUCCCGCCAGGCCAGGAAAAUGUUCAAAAUUUCAUUCAACUUCCUCACCUGCCAAACCAAACCUAAGAUUCUGAAAUACAAAUCUGCUAAAAAAAAACGGUGACAUCAAGGCCAUAACAUAAGUGCAUAUAGUGCAAUGAUUUUUUCACACGUUGUAUAGAUACCAAGUAGUAUCCGCUAAGUUGACGAACGUAUCUCUUGAAUCCAGGACGGCUAGUGAAGUAGCCGGUCCAAUAGGCAUCUUCUCCAUCAGCAUAUCUGCCAUCAACCUCAUUAAAAUUAUCAGAAGCUAGAUUGAUCAUUCAGUUAAGUUAAAAUCGAAUGAUCAAAACUUACGGGAAGAAAUCAUCAGUUUUGAGUGGCCAGGACUGGUUUGCUGCAUUUUUGGCAUCAGUGUAGAUAGAUGGCGUGGAGUACAAGACAUUGAUUUCUCCACCCUGCAAAUGUACACUCAAUUAAAAAAGAAUGUAAAAGUUGUGGCACGUUUGGGAGUAGGAUCACCAUUGUUUAGGUAUCUAUGUAACCUUGUUGACAUGAUGAAUGAGCUUGUCCAUUUGCCUGAACCAAGACUCAGCAAACUGGUACUGGAAAUCAUCGCCCAUCGUCCACAUUACAUGGUUCGCCCUCGUCACAUUAGCCUGUGUUCAUUAAUUAAAACAUGUCUAAUACAUUACAUUACUCCUUUGUCAUUAUUGUACAAACAAGACAUCACAAAUCAAACAAACAAAGGUUGUCACCCGUGUUUUGGCGGCAAGAACGAACUCCUUAACACGUUGAUCCACAUUGUAAUCGAAAAUACGAGGAUCAUCCUGCAAUGAAGAAUAUAUUAUGUUACGCAGAAAAUACACAGUGCAUCUAUGGUGAAAUGAUUAUAUACAAAACAAAAGCAAUAAAACCUGGACAAUUACACCCUGAUCAUCCUCAUCACCAACUUCAAAAUGGAAACCAGGUUGGCGGGCUAUAAUGUACCGGAAAUGCGUUGGCAAAUAUCUGAGGGAAAUUAAACAUCAUCAGUUAAAUGUAAACCGGCCAACGAACUAAUGAUUACUCAAGUACUUUAUAUACCUGAGAGGAGGAACCAAAAGUUCUGGAGCCACGCCACACAACUUCCAGAGACUUGUCGGCCUUCCUUUUCGCUCUGUCUUGGUAAUCAACCGUAGCGAAAUGUACCGAAUCGAAUCCACUCUGCAACAAACACACAGAGAGACCAUUGAUUUACCAUAUUUCAUCAUUCCGGAUUCGAAAUGGAUUGGAUUGAACCAUACCUCAGCGCCAAGGAGGUAAGCCUGGACAGCAGAGUGACCAAAUGAAUCGAUUUGCCAGGCGGCACGAGGUGUCGUGUUGAACUCGUUCUUGAUCAUCCGAUGCCCUAACGUUGUCUGAUCAAUCAUGUCUAUGUAAUGCGUUGCUGCUUCGUCGUGCAUGCACCAACCACCAUUUCUGCAAGUACACCAGCGUAACAUAUUUCAAACAUCCAACUUCCUGAUAAAAAAACAAACUAAAUUAAACUGUUGCAUACACGAAUUCGAGUUGUCCGCCAUGAUCUAGCUUCCUCACUAUCUCCUGUGUUUCCUUGCUCUGUUCUUCCCACCAACGAUUGAAAAAGGACUGAGCUUUGCAUCCAAAGGUCAAAAAGAAAAUUUCAUGAGAACCCAUUUUGACCACCAAUAUACACUAUACAGACACAACAGGUUAUGUUAGGAUGAUCGAAGCAUAAAUUUUAAAGUACCCUGAACGAAACACUGGGCAAAGUUUCAGUUUUUCCCAUUCUUCAUAGAAUUCAGCUAAUUUAGAGCCAAGAGACCGUGAAAUAUAACCCGAAUUCGCUCACCCUUGAUUCCGCCGUGAAAUGCUUAAUGUCGUCAGUGAAAUUGUUUGUUAAUUACGUACCAUUUCAGCAAAGACAAACUUCCUGUUGGGAUCCUUGAGAAGGGCAGCCACAACAGAAUCCAGCACAUUCUGAACGCACGCAUUCUGCCCCAUGAUCAUCACAAACAAUUUAAAAAGAAUGAAUUCACAGAAAAACAAAUCACAGAACAGUUGGAGAUUUACCUGAAUACUGUUAUUCGAGCCGACAUAGCAUUGAUCAAUGUUCUUCAGCCAUCCGACGUCGUCGUGUGAAUGAGGAACCAAAUGAACGUUCAGCUUUCCAUCCACAACCCCACUUCCUGUGUCGUAAUGGUAGUUGAGAAGAGCGCCGUCGACAACAGUUACGUACAGAGUAGAUAUGACGAUGAGCGAGACAAACGGCCACGUCAGCUUUCUCAUGUUUCUUCUGGACAAGUAUGAGGAUUAUGAGAUUAAGAGGUUGGAAACUGGUUAUAUAAAAGCAUGAAGGCGACGGACAGAGUCGGAUUAUAGAAUCCAACAACUAACAGCUAAUUACCUGUUGGACGGAUCUUUGAUUCUAUUCCUCCUCCCACUCAUCAUUUUCAAUAAAUGUUAUAAAUAUAUAUCUUUUGUCUUGCCCUUCAUUUGGAAUUUUUGAUAAUAUGGUAAUCUUUUAAUUAAUAGUUUAUUUUCGAAUCUUUUCCUUUUCCGGAUUUAAAGACGUUCCAAGUCAAUCGUUGAUGAGAUAUCACCACCGAUUGUUACUGAGAUUACUGCGCACCAUCGCUAGAAUCACAUACUAGCCGAAGGGACAAUAACAAUUUGAUGAUGUAGUUUUGUCUCGUGGUUUCAACUUAAACCAAGCCGACAAUUGUGCACGUAUACACAAAAUUUGAUGAUUUUCGUAAUGGAGUUAUUAUAUAUUUGUGUGUUGAUGACAUGUUUCUCUUUGGAAAGGAUCAAACACAAGUGGAAUGGUACUAAAUAAUUCUUGUCAUCAAAAUUUACCAUAAAGAUAUGAAGGACACAUGUGGUGUUCCUUGUCACAAUAUCGUGACAUUAAGAAAGUGUGUCAAAUUUCAUAAAUGAGAAGUGUGGGACAAUUGAGUCGAUAUACUAGUAAUCCUACCACUAACAUAAUUACGAAGAGUACUAGGAUAUAUUUUGUAUUCUUACUUGCGGGAGGUUAUAUUAUGGACUUUCAAGAAGCAAACUUGUAUCACAUGUAAAAUUUUAAUAGGCAUGGAUGCAGAAGAACAGUAGACACGUCAUCUAAACUUAAACUCACAUACUGAUCCUCCUCGUAGGCUGAAAACUUGGGACUGGCUAAUCUGUACGACCAACAAAACAUUACUUCAUCGUUUACACUGCUGCUUGCAUAAGGCAAAGCAAAAACAUUACUUCAUCGUUUAACCUUUCUGCCCAGUUCUACUCUUCUCUGACUAACACCAUGAACAAAAGAAGCCAAACACUGGCCUGCAAGUAACAGUAAAUCACAACCUCCCAUACUCCAGAACCCAGAGCCGAUUCAGCAGCAUUGCUCUGUAAUCUUCCUUUUCGUACUUCCCAGUUAGGAGGGCACUGCCGAAACACAACAAAGAUGCCGUCAAUCAGUCAGGCUGCGGGGUGUUCAAAUCAAACUUGAAAGCAAUUACAUACAAUUCAAGGAAGUUGUAGAAAACUUACUGUAUGUAGAUGUAUCAAUUUGCUCCGGCAGUUCUUUUAUGUCCACCUCAAACCUCUCCUGAACCUGAAACAGUAACCAUGUAAUUCAAUAAACCUGAUAAGUAACGACAACGAGCCUAAGGCAAAUGUAACAUCAGACACACUCAUCACCUGAUUAAGAACAUCUGAGUCGGAAGCUGAUGAUACAAAUGUAAUCGCAAGCCCCUUUGUGCCAAACCUACCAGCACGACCAACCUGCCAAGCAAUUGCCACAACCUCCAAGUUACACGACAAUUACAGGUCAAGGUCGGCCAGAAACAUUCACAGCUCACACAAUCAGAAUUACCCUGUGAAGAUAUGUGUCAGCUGAAUCAGGCAUGUCAUAGUUAAUAACAAUGUUGACCCGCUCUAUGUCUAUUCCCCUUCCAACCAGAUCAGUAGCAACAAGAAUCCUUUUAUGACCCUCUUUGAAACCCUUGUAGCGUGUCAGCCUACAAAUACCAUCCAGACAAGAUUUAGAUAAUAGAUUCUGAAAUCGAAUUUUAAAAACCCACAAGCCAAUCAAAACCCAACAAACAUGAAGCAAGAUGAAAUGUGGUACAAACCUUUCCUCCUGGGACAUUCCAGAGUGAAUGCAUAUUGAAGGGAAAUUACACUCGAUUAGCAACUUGUUCAGCUCAGCUGCACGGCUCACACUCUUGACAAAGAUAACAACUUGAUUGAAGUCCAGCGCAUCAAGAAGGUCGUUCAGCUUCCGGUUUUUCUCCAGCUCGGUCAAUUUGAUGUAGUGCUGUCAUUAAAACUAUGAGUACAGGAAAUCAAUCCAAUAAAAAAUCAAACAGAAUUCACAAACAAUUGAUGAUAUACCUGGACAAGUCCAUGAAGUGUCAGCUUGGCCUCAUCGUCAACAUAAAUUUCCAUCGGCUGAAAGCAACAAAUUUCACAAUAAAGCAUGUUAGGGUCGUUCUUCAAGCUUAAUGCAAUCCAAAAGGAAAGAAUGAUUGCAUCACUUGCGCCAGUUGAGAUCCCAGCCCAUCUGAUUGAUCUCCUUGCAGAUACAUUUUUAACUCACUCCCACCAUAGCUCUAUCUCUUAACCAGCAGUGCCCCCACAAUAUACAACCCCAAAAAAGGAAAAAGCGAAUAACGAAAAAGCUAAAUCAUUUUCCCCAUACAGCUUCACAAUACCAACCACUCGCACAACAUAGUCAUCUUAACAUCUUCCUUGGCCAGUAUUCAUCUCGCCAGCCCACCCAAUAACCUAGUUCCAGCAUAAAUUCCCCAAUCACUCUGAAUGAGAGGGACACAAAAACAAAAGGCGAGAUGGUGAAAACAAACACAGCUGAAAUUUCCAACAUCAUCCAACAACCUGACCCUCGUUGCACUCAUACGCCCUCCCAAAACCUUUCCAACUUAGUGCAAGGCUUCUGAUGGACAACCAGAUUCCAAAACUUUUGCAGAGUUCUCGAAUUAUUAAAAGGAUAAGACUUCUAAAUUCAAGGGGAACUGGUCAUAGGACAUUACAUCUUGCAUGAACUUCUUGCAUACUGGGCGGAUUUCUUUACUUAGUGUUGCAGAAAACAUCAUGACUUGCUUGUCAUGAGGGGUCAUCUUGAAUAUCUCCUGCACAUCUCUCCGCAUGUCUACAUGCCACAUUAUAGUAACAGUAAGAACUUGACUGGAAAAGUCAUCAAGAAGAAAUUGACAAGUAGUAUUAGGGUGUACAUACCAAGGGAUUCAAGCAUCUUGUCACAUUCAUCAAGAAUGAAAUGUCUAACAUUUUUCAGAGAAAGUUCCUUGUCUCGCGCCAAUGCCAGUAUUCUACCAGGUGUUCCAACAACAACGUGAGGGCAUUCAUUUUUCAGAAGAUCCCUGUGAGUUUUUAUGUUGACACCACCAUAAAAUACAGCAACCUUGGUAUCCGGCAAGUAGGUACUGAAUCUCUCGAACUCGUGGCAGAUCUGAAGAACAGAGGAAACCAUUAAGACAACUAUAAUAUUCAGAGCAACUGAAAUAAAAGAGUGAACUUUUUAGGUGUGGAAGGUACCUGGUAAGCAAGUUCUCUUGUGUGACAUAGAACAAGGGCAAUAACUUGCCCAGGAGUUGGCUCAAUUUGCUGGAGAGUAGACAGAACAAAGACAGCAGUCUUUCCCAUCCCAGACUUAGCUUGGCAGAUAACAUCCAUUCCCAAGAUGGCUUGGGGAAUACACUCGUGUUGAACUGAUGAAGAACGAAAGAAAAUUGGACCGAGGAACCCCUCAUAAGUAUACAUACCUUCGUGUCCUCUAACUGAAAGGAUACCAAACCAGAAUAUUGCUCCAAAACCAAGAUUAUGACAGUGAAUUAUUACCUGAAAAGCAUACAAGAAGUUACUUUGAGCUUUUAAUACCAACGAAGUAAUUAGUUGAAGAACCAACAUAAUUCUCAACGGAAACGAAAGAAGUACAUCAAGGCCACCGAAGACUAGAAACUAAAUGCUCAACUUCCACACACAUCAAUAACUCAUAAGAGACAAUAGGAGGAACUUCAACACACAAGCUACCCCUGGUCUCGUAAACAAAAUAGUAAAAUAUACGAGGAGAGCCAAGAAACAAAUCAGAAUUCAAACAAGGGUAAGAAAUUUACCUUCAGAAGGAUGCUCAAACCCAGAAUCUACAAUAGCCCGAAGUAGCUCUGGCUUCAAAAGGAAGUCUCUGAAUCCCGAACUGUGUAUCCCAACAUAUCCCCUGAAAAUAAAUAAUUUAAACAGCGUAUCUGAGAAAUCCCAAUCCAGCUGAAGAUAAUUAAAAUAUCAUACUCCAUGUAAGCAUAUGUAAGAUCUAUGCCGCAACAUUAGAGUCAAGCAGCUUCCUUUGCCAUAUGUUAACUAAAAUCUAAUGGAGUUAGUAAUAAGAUCAUAUCAGAUACGCCAUAAAAUGUUCAAUGGCAACUAUCUAGCAACAGGAUAGGGUAUAGAAACUUACUUCUUAGGGGCUUCGCCGUUGACUUUGGCAGUGAUAGAGUCGGGGGCUUUCUCCUCCUCUUCCUCGUAAUCGAGAAGCUCCUCCUCGUAAUCGUUGUCCCUUGUUUCUCCCAUGGUCAGUGAAGAACAAGUCGGGCCGACGCCGGCGGAGGAGAGAGGUGGUUACCUGAGAUCUGCGGAUGAAUGAGUACGGCGACUGUGUUGGAGGCGCGGCGGUGGAGGGGAAGAGGGUUUGUCGAUCAAAAUGCAAUAAAGGAACUCGGGGUUAAACCAAAGCUUUGAAGACCUCGAGACCUCAAAAUCGAACAAUUUAUUUGGAUAUGUUUCAAAAAUGAAGAAAGAGAUCUCAUCCUAACUUUCCAGGACUACCCCUCAUCAUUGCUUCAAUUUACGCUUCAGGCUACUAUUUUUCGACAAAACAGCCUCGGAAAGCCCAACCUAUGGCCUGAUUUCAAAAUUUGACACCAGUUAUAGAAAAUACAAAUCGUGGCACAAAAAUAAGUCAGCGUUUUAUCUAUUAAGUCAAAAUUGACGGAAAUUUGGUCGGCAUCCUUCGUGGCUGACGGCUCGAUGACGUAUCGAACGGUAUAGAAUCCUACUACUGAGUCAACAUCUAACGACAUGUCAUUUCCCAAUUCAUUGACUAUCCUACUGGACCAGACCCAUAUAACCCGACCGAACAUGAUAAUUGAACCCGACUCGAUAUAGUAGAUGAACCUUAUCUUCAAUCCGUUUUAACUCCUACCCACAUAACCUUAAAUCGAAACCUUUCUUCUAGAGAAAUCUGCUUUUUCUUCUUUCGAAUCGUUACUCUCUUCCAAACACUAUAGAUCUAAAAUGAUUUAUUUGUCGUUGCUAUAAUUUAUAUUUCUCAUAGAUUGUGCCAAAUUUUAAAAUUCGGCCAUAGGGCUUUCGGGGCUGUUUUGCCCUAUUUUUCAAUGUGGGCCGGAAAGUAGUUAACAUGUUUAGACCUAUUCUCACUUGCUCACUAAUACCUUUAUAUUGUUGAUGUCACUGGAUUUGGAUUUAUUGAUGUUGAGCGUGAGAAGAAAUUGGUGUCUCAAUUCGGUUUUUUGGUUUUAUUUCUUAGAAGAGAUGACAUUUGUGUUGUUCACAUGUUUGCUAGGUUAUCAAUUACUUUAGUUGUGAAUGUAACUAGUGAAGCCCCUCUUAAAUGGUUGAUUGUUAAUUUUGGUGAACACUUAUUUUAUUUUGUUGAUUAUCAGUAAGAAAGAUUUUUUUUUCUACCGUAAAAAACAAUCAUCUUUUUAAAUAAAGUCAGACUCGUAAUAUUAGUGAUCAAGAUACAUGAACCUAUCUAAAAAUGCAUGUUCGAGCUAAAAAGGAUUUGCAUGCCAAAUAGUUGGUGAUGCUAAGGUAAAAGAUCGAUGAAACUCAUGCAAGAUUGAAACUCUCAAAAUACAUCAACCAUAUGUCUGUAGAUGCUGAUGCAAUGGUAGGUAUUCUAGUUAAGUUCAUCAUAAUGUUAUUGUGGUAUAGUGGUAAAUAUUCUCGCUUAUCAUGUGGGUGACCUGGUUUGGAUCCCUGGCAACAAUGAUAAAUGUUUUGAAAAUAUUUCUUAACUGACUUACCAUUUUACGUGUCAAGAUGCGUUUCAUUUAUCAUCAAGGUUGUUGCAAUAUAGUGCUAGUCACACGGGUUGUUUCGGUUUGAUAUCCAACCAUGGCAACUAAUGAUUCCUUCAAAAAUACACCUAUAUUGCGGGUGGGAAUGCAAUUAUGUACUUUUCAUUUGCAAACCUAUGACCAAGCCUCUUGUAAUUUUGUAAAGUUGGCUGCAAUUGAUCGGGCACAAGCAGCAGCUUUGUUAUUUUGUCCGGCGCUAAGGAAGCAGAAGUUUGAGUCGUACAUGAAGGAAUCAAAGGAGUAGAGGAGUUGGGGAACUUGCAAGCCAUGUCUGAAACCUUUUGCCACUUACGCACUGACACUCACAAGUGAUAUUGUUGAUGUCACUGUAUUCCGAUUCACUGCUUCUUAGCGUAAUGAGAAAUUGGUGUCUCAAUCCGGUUCUUCGGUUUUAUUUUUUGACAGAGAUGCGAAUGGUGUUGCUCACAUGCUUGUUAGACUAUCAACUAUCUUAGCUGUGAAUGUAACUAGUGAGGUCCCUCUUAAAUGGUUGAUUAUCAAUUUGGGGAAUAUUUAUUUUAUUUUGUUGAUUAUCAAUAAGAAAGAAAUUUGCUUCUCUUAUGAAAAAUAAUUCUCCUUUAAGAUAAAGUCAAGACUUUUAAUAUUAGUAUUCAUGAUGCAUGUACCUAUUUGAAAAUGUAUAUUCGAGCCAAAAAGAAUUUACAUGUCAAAUAGUUGGUGAUGUUAAGAUAAAGGGCCGAUGAACAAGCUCAUGGGUUUCAAUGUUCAAUUGAAUAGUCUGGGACUCAGAUUGAAUGUCUCAAAAUGCAUCCACCAUUCUGUCUUUAGAUGCUAAUCCAAUGUGGUAUCCUAGUCAAGUUCAUCAUAAGGUCGUUAUAGUGUAAUGGUAAGUGUUCUUGCUUGUUACGUGUGUGACUCCGGUUUGAUCCCCGCAACGACGAUACAUAUUUUGAAAACAUUUAUAUUGCGGGUGGGAAUGCGAUUUUAUACUUUCGUUUGCAAAACCAUGACCAAGCAAGCCUAUUAUAAUUUUGUAAAGUUUGCUGUAAUUGAUCGGGCACAAGAAACAACCUUUUUAUCAGUUUUCCCAGUGUGAAGGAAGAAGAAGUUUGAGUCGUGCUGGAAGGAACCAAAUGGGUACAAGAGUUGGUACUCGCAGGCCGUGUUUGAAACCUAUUUUUAGUUGCGCAUCGACACUCACAAGUGAUAUGUUAAUGCACUAGGCUGAAUCGAGUAGAAAUCAAAAUAUCAUGAGCUAGAUAUAAAAAAAUGCGAUUACUGAUUAUUUUUUAAACAACUAUUUUGCGUGUCAAGAAUGCGAUUUUAUACUUUUCAUUUGCAUAUCCAUCUCAUGACCAAAAACCUAUUACAAUCGGUACAUUUGGUAUUUCAUUUUUUGCCACUAACAGCAUCUAGGUGGGGUGUGACCAUGGUUACCACUUAGUCACUUACCACAAUCGGAGGGCAAGUCUUCCUUGCACACUUCUGCCUUCUCUGGCAUGAUAAUUUCUCAACAAUCAUUGAAUGAGUGAGUCUGUACCUAGGAGUCGAACUCUGUACAUUCUCAUCAUCCUCCAUCCUUUUGGCAACUCAUAACGUCUUAUGAGAUUGAGUACUUGCAUGUCCCUGAUUCUCAUCACCUGCAAACUCUUCUUUCUGAUAAUCCCAUAGUUCUGUAAUUGCAUAUUGGGUGUGGGAAAAGAAACAUAACACUUCACACAAGUAUAAAACCAAAAGUUUCUGCACGAAACCUUGGAUAUAUAAUGUUUUCUGAAAUGAGAAGUUCAUAUUAUGAAUUGUCUAUCACAAUAAAGGAAAAAACAGAUUAAUCGAAAAAGACACCCUUUAAUCACUUGGAUCUGUGAUGUAGGAAUGAUCAUUGUAAACAAAACAAAACAUGUAAUACUUUCCCCCCAGCCAUUCCAUUAUCUUUGUUUACUCCACUACGUAACCAAAUCCCAAGAAUUGUUGCAACACAACAGUCAGCCAGCAAGCAACCUUCCAUCAGCAGUUUUCUUCCUCUUCUUCUUCUUCAGGAAACCUCAAAUGCUUCCCUUUAGGAGUUGGCAGUCCCUUCAAUCUCACAACACCAUCAUCUUCAGCAAGAACAAGCUCAUCAUCGCUAUUGUACUCAAACCUCUUGUGCUUUCCACUGAAUCCCACACUUAUUCUGCUAAUCCCUUCACACAGCUCAUCAAUGGACGAUCCCUCCUCCUCCUUGUACUCUUCUCCUUCUUCCUGGUUGUUGUAGCUGUAGUAAUUGCCGUCAUCAUAAACCUCUUCCCCUGCUUCUUCUUCAAUCACUGCAUAAUCAUCAUCAUCAUCACGGGUGCUUGCAUUCACCUGAAUGGACCAUAUGGAAGCGCAUUCAUCAUCAGUUACUUCUGAUGAUAUUGACUUCUCUUCUUUGCUACACGACUCAGUUGUGGAGUCGCAAGAUUCAGACUUCUCGGAAGAGAAAUCCAGCAGCAAUUGCCUGUUCACACUCUUCUGAGAUUCCAGUGUCUCAAGCUUCCUACCAUUAUACAUUUCACCUACCACAGCCUGCAGAAGUACAAAUUUUGUUCAGAAACGGAAACCAAAAGAGGUAAGACAAAGUAACAAAAGAAAAUUAACUAACUAAUUAACUAACUAACCUCGCAAAUCUUAAGCUGCUCUUGAAUAACAGGCAAAGGAGAGAUCAUCAUCAUGCUAGUGGAUGAGUUGAUGUUGUUGUCAUCAGUCAGAUCAUCAAGAAGCAUUGGAGUAUUAGCAGGAGUCGGUGCAAGGAGGCCCAUGGGAGAAGAGUUGAGGAAGAGCCCCUGAAGUUUGAGGAAAGGACGAUUCUCCAGGGGAAUCUUUGACAACUCGGCUUCUUCCUCUACACGCUGCAGCAGAGUCUUCACUUGACCCCUCAGUAGAGCUUCUCCAGACCCAGGAGUCUUGAUGUUUCUGUUCUUGAUUUUACUGAUUGUUUUCUUGGUGUUGGCCGAGGACGAUGGAGUCUCCAAUAUCCCCAUUGCGAGCCCAGCGAUGGGAGAAUCAUUUGUUAUGUCAACGAGCGCUGACCGAUCUUGGUGCUGCUUGCCGCCGCUGUUUUUCCCCAAAUCUUCAAUCUUCCCUGAAAGAUUUUAAAACAAAAAAUUCAGAAACCGUCAGUGAGGAAUUCUAUCAAACAGUUGGCGGGCGAUAUUCAGUCAUCACAAAAGAUCCAGCCUUUGAUUUGAAUAAUUACGAGAUAUUGGGUUGUUGUUGAGCGAAGCAGCUCGAGACUGAGAUCUUGUGACUCGUUUGGUUGAGGAAGGUGUCUCCAUUGAUGGUGAACUGCUACGAAGGACGAGAGCCGGGGGAAGGAUGGAUGGAUCAAUCGAUACUUGAGAAAAGAGAGAGGGAGAGAGGGAUCAGGAGACAGAGAGCGAGAGAUAGAAGCGAAAUUAGGAAAAGGAAAAUGAUCAGAGAAAGAUGUUGAUUAGGGUAUUAUAUAAAUUCAAAUUUUGUGUUGAAAAUGACGGGGGGUUUCAAACGGUAAUAUGACCGUUAGUGACAGGCAAUGCGGCGGCGCGCAAUUGUAAUACUAGCCGUUGUGGGAUUUUCUCACUCACACUCUCUCUCUCUCUGUUUCUACUUUCCGGUUAACUCUUUUCGUUAAUUUUCUGAUUUCUCUAUCUUCCGUUUCCUUUUCAGGGUAUUUUAUUUUUAAAGAUUUUGAGAAAUUACAUCUUAAUUUUUAAUGUAAAUGAAAAGUAAUUUGGAGAUAUUGAGUUUUAAUUUAAUAUAUUUUAUAAAUAAACAUUAAUAUAUUAUUGAUUUCAUUUUUAAAUCUUAUUGCUUUCAUUUCUAAAUUUUUUAUUGAUUGAGAAGUCCAUUCCGACAAACAAAUAUUGAUUUGAAAGUGUAUAUUUUUUUAGGGAUAGUUAGAGUUGUUAAGAAAAAAUUAAUUUGAUUUAUUUAAAGUUCACAACAAAUAUUCAGUGAACGGUUGGUGAGUCUUUGAUGACCGGCCUCCAAUAAUUCAUCAACUUUUUCAAUGAAUUUAUAACGACCUUCCUUUUAAACCUCUGAUGUCAUUUUUUUGAAAGAAAAAAUGAUUAAUUACGAAAAGUCUCUUAUGAAAAUUUUUUAUUGAUUGAGAAGUCCAUUCCGACAAACAAAUAUUGAUUUGAAAGUGUAUAUUUUUUUAGGGAUAGUUAGAGUUGUUAAGAAAAAAUUAAUUUGAUUUAUUUAAAGUUCACAACAAAUAUUCAGUGAACGGUUGGUGAGUCUUUGAUGACCGGCCUCCAAUAAUUCAUCAACUUUUUCAAAGAAUUUAUAACGACCUUCAAAAUACUAUACACAAUUUAUUUUAUUUUACCCGUUUUGGUUUAGCAUAGUAAUCAUAACAAUAGUGAACAGUAUCAUUCGAAUUUCUUAUGAUUCGUAAAUUUAUAUCAUCACAUUAAGAUCUUGAAAGAUUUACCAGUUAAUGUGUCUGAAGCCGCGAUAAUACGAGGGCUUCUCGUUUUUUAGGAUUUCGCGUAAAAGCACAUUAAUUAGGAUGUACAAUACUUAUGACUUAACUAUGUCUUUCUUAUAAAAAUUUUCAAACAGAUUGUAUUUUAAUUCAUUCAACUUUCGGCCAACCGAUCAGGUACUAAUUUCUAAAAUGAUUAGAAAAAUCGGCCAUAUGAAAUAAAUCUUGUAAAUUUUUCAUUAACAUUCGAAUUAUAAAAACUAGUUUUGGGCCAUUAGCCCAAUUGUCAUAUGAUUGAACACAUUAGCUGGCUACCCUUCUUCUUGAAUCUUGAUAUAUGCGACUGCUACUGUUCAAGUAAAUCAACCCCUGCUGCCGCUCUUUUGCUCCGGUUCGGAAGCCUCAACGAGAAAGGAAUCGUAUGGGAAAAACUGCAUCUAUAUUAUUGCAAAAGACAAUGUCAUUUGCUCCAUUGUGCAUAUCAUACAGAGAACAGACGAGAAAGACGAAGAAAAAAGAAGACGGAACAUGCAGAGAACAGCACGUACAGCAGCAAUUGUUAUUAAUUACAAGUACUGCAAUAGUAAUAUAUAGAUUGAAAACAAACGUAAUGAAAGAGCGAACAAUAAUAAAUCGACAAAGAGAAGAGAGAACCAAAUCAAAUGGUGUUGGCUCGAUCGCCGAGUAACGUAAUUAUGAGAUGAGAUUAAUUCUUCAAGGGCAUUUGGGGAGUAGGUAGCGGGUGGUGAGGUUGGCAUAGCAAGGACACAAGUUGUGGUUCCCAGAUGUGCCAGGUGGGACGCACCCGCACUUUGCGCAGCAGCUCCCGCAUGCCCUUUUGCACAGAUUUGGCCUCUUCGUCUUCCCGCAUCUCACCCCACACGCCGCUCCACAAUCUGCCCAUGCACCCCAUACAUUAAUAGCUUAUAAGAAGAAGAAGAAGAAUAUAUGUGAAAGUGUGUUGGCGUUAGAUGGCAGUCGGAUGAAUGUAGUACGUAGUGAUCAGUGAUAUUAUGUACGUACGCACCAAUAUUAGCAGGCUGAGGUGCUGGACUAGUAGUAUAACCAGUGGCAACCUCUAGAAAGUCGAACUGAUGAUCAGCAGCUUCUGCGAUUUGCUGCAGAAGCACCACGGACAGGAUGAUGAUGAGCACCACACAGCUUCUAGCUUUGGAGAAUGCCAUUACUUGAACUGUAAAUAGUUAGUUGCAGGUCUGGCUGAUGAGCUCGAGCAGAUGAAGUAGCCUGGAGUGGUGGUGGUGGGGGUAUUUAUAUGAAUAUUAUAUAUGAGGAGAAAGGAAAAGGAGAGAACAAUCCAGAAAGGUAAUGGUUGGUCUUCACCAUCGAUUAAUAUUAUGCAUGCCAGCUCUACACCGACAUGUAUGGGGAUUAAACCAUACUAUUAUAUAUCUCUACUUAUUAAUUUGGCAGUCGAUCGAGAUACAACUCAAGCCCUGCACAUGCAUAAUACUUCAACAACAAGACUGACUGACUGAAUUUCAGUUGCGUUCCUCCAGGCAGUAGGGAUGAGUUGUGUGCAUUAUAAUAAUUUAUUACUUGGAACAACUAACUAAAUAUUACAUUAAAAUAAGGUUAAAAAAACCUAGAAUGACAUAAAUAUACACAACUAAUUAUUCGACUGACAUGACCUAUCUUUUAUGUUAAAUUUUGAAUGAUUAUAUUUGAGUCUUAUAUUUAGUAUUUUUAAUUUUUUACAAAGUGUUUGGCUCCAAUAGUACAUAAUUUUUCAUUUUAAUUUAAUAAUUUGAUUAUUAUUUUUAUAUAGAUAUAAUUAAUUAAGGUGAGAACUUCGGUACUUUCAAAAUACUAAGUACUCCCACUUAAUUGAACUCAUCUGGACCACUUAAUUUUUAGAAGUCAUCUAAACGAGGAAUAAUUAAUUAAUUAAUUUAAAGUUUAAACAACGACAUAGUCACUCUUUUGAAUUUCAAUCAUCAUAAAGUAUUUAUUUAUUUUUAUCUUUUGAUAUAUUGAGAAACGGUCCAGGUAAAUUCACCUCUCAUCAUCCUAAUUAACAUGAACAAUGCCUAUACGAAUAAAUAUUUUUUUAUAAACCGGAUUUAUUUAAUCAGUUAGGCUAACUUCAUUCAGUGAUUCGUUUUAAUAUUCAUGUCUCAUAUUGGCUUUAUAACAUAUAAGCUCAAUUCUAUUUAAUUUGAUGUUGAUUGGAAUGAAAUAAAGUGAUUAUUUUAUUACUUAAAUUUAUAAAUUAAUUAAUUAUUGAUCGUUGAGAUCGUUUUAAAAAGGCCAAAUGGGUGACCUUUUUAGCAACACUGAAACUGAGCCCAUGUGAAUGACCAUCAUUCAUUGUUUCCUCCGAUAGGAAUAUAAUAUCCGACUCCGGAUCUCCAAGUUCUGCUUCCACAAAGUGCAGUGAAGAAGUUGGAAAGACGGGUCAAGUGGGAAAUAAUGGGCUUCCAUACCUUAAGGCCCAAUUUCUUAUCUACAACACAACCGAUCAACAAGGUUUGCCACAACGGUAAAUCCUCGGACAAACAUCAAAAGAAAAGGCCACUACCAAGCAAUGACUCGACCGAGCGCGACUAGGCGACGGCAGUGCUGUCGACGGCUGGGGUAUGAUGUUGUUGGAUUCUUUGACGACCCUGGGAUGAGCUCCGGCGAUAAUGGAAGUCCGGUGACCGGAAGAAGAAGGGAGGUGAAGAGAGAAUUGAGAGAAAAGUAGGGAGGAGACAAUAGUCUGUAAUUCAUUAAUUGUCUGGGAACAGUCCUUUUCCCCUUUAACUGAAGCUACAGUGCUAAUAGACAAAUUUAAGGGAAAUUACAAAACCUCACCCCUAGCUCCGCCACUGAUUGGGACGGCUGACGUCUAGGAUUGGUGCCUUUAUGGUUAGACUCUAAAAAAUUUGAAAUAAUUUAUCUUUAAAAACUAGUUAAUAAAAUUGCCUAUUAAUUUUAUAUUUAGUAAUGUGAUAUUUAAUUGGGCAUAUAACAAAAUUUGAUUGAUUAAUACGAGAAAAAAUAUAUAUUUAUGAAUGAUGUGAAUAAUUAACUAUAUGAGUGAAUUAAAAUAAAUAUUCAUACAUAAUUAAUAAUUUACAUAUAAAAAUGUAGCAUUUGUAAUGAUUUUGACAUGCACUUCUCCUCUUUGGUUUUACCCAACAGACUGUACAAAUUACACCACUACAUAUACAACAAGACAACUUAGUUUACCAGUAAAUGAAAUUUAAAUUAUAUUGACAAAUUUUGCUUCCGAAAAUCUAAAAAGAAAACUAAUUUAACAAGCUAAUUAAAAACGCAAAUUUUAGGAAUAAAUUCAAGUGAAUAAUGAGAAGCAAAAUCAAUGAAUAUCAGCCAUCUCCAACAUUUCACAUGACAUGCAUCACGGCGUUAACCUCGUCCUCCUCCUCGUGGUCGCCGUCCGUUAUCGCCGUCUUCUUGAUGAACUCUAUGCAAUCCGCGACUGCUUCGCUGUGGUAAGGAUCAGCCAGGUACCCGUGGUACGACGCCCUUCCGACCGUCCGAUGACGAUCUGAAGAAGAAGAAGUAUCCGCAGAGAUCAUCAUGAGGCGGAAGACAGAUUCCCUCAAACGGUGGAGGAGGGACGACAUAGGAUGAUGAUGAGAGACGCGGUGGGUUCUCAGCCUCGGAAUACACAUGCUACUGCUCUUCAUGAGACUCUGUGAUCUUCGAUCGACUUGCUUGCUACUAAUUAAUUUCAGGAAUUUGGCUCUACAAAUCGUUGGUAUUGAUGGAGGACAAGUAUAUAUGAUUGAGCUAGUUCAAAUUAUUGCAUAUGUAGGAGGGAAUCUAAUAGCAACAGACAAAGUUUCCAUUUUUUAUUAAAUUAAAAUGAUGGACUGGCCAGCUUACGUACGUAGUAGUAGCCUCAAAGUGGUCGGCGUUACCUGCCUCCCGCCGUUGACCUAGCCCAUCGUCAUGUGCCUCUCUAGUCCCUACGAACUAAAGAUGGAAUUUCACAAGGUCUAGUAUGGAAAGAUGAUUUGACGAUAUGGUUAUUUUGAUGGAAAGCAAUUUUUUCGGUAGACCUGUCUUUGAGGUUCAAAAGUUCAAUUCCAUACCAAAGUGUAAAGUUAUAAACAAGUUCAAUAUUUAAUCACGUUGCGGGGAUAGCUCAGUUGGGAGAGCGUCAGACUGAAGAUCUGAAGGUCGCGUGUUCGAUCCACGCUCACCGCAUGAAUUUUUUGUUUUUUUUAACCUUUGAUCGACCCGCAGCCAAAACGACACAACAGUUUGUGUUGCAAGUCCAUCUCCGUUACUUGCUGGCAAUCCAUGUGUAAUCCUAGUGAGCGGCUAGGAUGAUACUAACGCAAGUUCACGCGGAUCGUCAAUUUUCCCCGCUGACAGAAAGUUGAAAAACUUGAUCGAACGGCCAUCUCUCGAUCUAAAAUUUUGUGGCGCCAGUCAGCGAAUUAUUUUCAACAUUUUCCCCGGACGAAAAAUUGACCGCCAGAAGCCAACACCGACGAAUUUCGAAAAACUUCCCCCACCUAUAUAAUUCACCCCUCUGCGCCUCCGAUUCGUUCAUUCUUACUUCCAUUCUGCAAUAUUUGAUUUGGUACAUCUGCAAUUUAUUCGAGUUGUUAAGAGAAUCGAUUUCUGAACAAAAAUGUCAGGAAGAGGCAAGGGAGGAAAGGGUCUUGGAAAGGGAGGAGCCAAGAGGCACAGGAAGGUCUUGCGAGAUAACAUCCAGGGCAUCACCAAGCCCGCCAUCCGAAGGCUCGCCCGCAGAGGUGGGGUCAAACGUAUCAGUGGCCUCAUCUACGAGGAAACCAGAGGCGUCCUCAAGAUCUUCCUCGAGAACGUGAUUCGCGAUGCCGUCACCUACACCGAGCAUGCUCGCAGGAAGACCGUCACCGCCAUGGAUGUCGUCUACGCUUUGAAGAGGCAAGGCCGUACCCUCUACGGUUUCGGUGGUUGAGUGCGCCCUUCUUGUAAUAGUCUACGCUCUUCUUUCAAUUUCCAGUUGAUGGUUUUAGUCUUCUAGUGUUACUAUCCUUGAUUCCGUGUAAUGAAAGUCGUUUGUGUUUGUGAACAUCUAAUUCAAUCAAUGUUUACUUUUGCACGCAAGGUGUUCGAUAUAUUGCGCGAACCAAGUAAUGAAACCGAUUUUGAAAUGGUAGAUCUUGUUGAUUAAGUAAAGAUGAUUAAUUAGAUUUGUAUAAACAAUCAUCUGGGUUCUGCUUUGGUAUACACUUAUUUUUUAAAGAUUGAGAUGUCAAAAAAUGUCCUACACUUCUCCAGUUGUUCCGGGAAGAGCUAUUUCUAGGGUUCUAACUAUGCAAACGACUGAGCAACGGGGCCGGUGCUUAGCAAGCCAGAGAGGAGGCCGACGAUGAAUGCAGAGUUGUAAGUUGUAGGUUCAGUUUGCAUAGUGUUUCUUCUGUCGUCGUUGAAAGUUUCGUUCUUGGAUGGUCCACCAACUACAGCUCCAAGAGCUACGUUUGGAUUUGGGGUAACGGAAUCCAGCCACUUGAAUCCGUCUCUACACCCAGUUCUGGAACCGACUGGGAUUGAUGAUCCUCUGUGGUGGACGUAGCGUGGGUAAUCAAGUCCGUAGCCAACUAGAUAGCUCAUGUCCAUUGGAUUCUUUCCCAGUAUAUAAUCUGCCUGCAAAAGUUGUGUUCCAGCAGCAGCAGGUAAAUUAGGCUUCUGCACCACAAAUUUCAGAAGAAUGAAACUCAAUAGAAUCCCUGCUUACUUGUGACAUGGCGAAGUCUCGAAGAUCCUUGGAACUGUAAGUUGUUCCGUCACAGUAGAGAGUUUGGACUUGAGAUGUGGCCAUGUAAUCACUGAAGAGAACUGCUAAGAAUGCAGAUGCCAUAGAGUAUUGCAGAGGGUUCCACUCUUGCACCCAUAUCAACCCGCCUGCAAAUUAACCAAACAUCCCGAUUUAAGUAGGGUUGUUCAUACUGAGUCGAACUGAAUUUCAAUUUCGUUACGCACAAGAUUGAUUCGUUAUUUUAGUUGAGUUAUAAAAUUUUAGUUCCUAUAGAGCUUGAACCCGGUUCGUUAACUACCCUUGACGAGCUAAAUUCGAGCUCCACUCGAAUGUGUCUCAUUCAAACCCCGAACGAAAUCAAUUUGUGCUGAAUUUGAAACAUGUACAUUAAAAGAACAUCAACGAAUCAAACUAAAAAAACAAAUUAUCCUAAAAUUUAUAAGUUUUACCUACUUGCAUUUUCAUUAACACAAUCAUAAAUCACAUAUGAUUUAUUAUAUAUGGUAUUAGAGGCAACGUAAAACACACAUAUCACAUUGAUCAGUCUACUAACGAGCCAUAUAUUUGAAUUAGUAUUCAUACCGGCUCGUGAGUCUGUUGAAUACAACCUACCACAUCUCGAAUUUGGCUCAUUAAAAAUCUUUUUUCCAACCAAACGCUAAGCUGGUCGUGAACAGUUUGGCUCGCCUGUGUAAAAAACCAUAACAAGUACAAAAUCCAAUCAUACAUACCAGAUGUUCUGCUAGCUGUGGCGGAAGGUGAAUCAGGAAACAGUUGGCACAUGGCGGCCUGAGCCAUUCUGGUAUACAUCUGAACCUUUACAUUCUCAUCAGCAGUCAUUCCACCAUUUUCCCCACCUCCCAAAAGGUUCAAUCUAGAAAUCAAAACCUGAGUUCCAGCAUGCUUAUCAUCCCAACUGAACCAAGAGGGAUCGGCCCAGUUACCAAAAGCAUCUCCAUUGACGACAGUGACGUAUUUCAAGUAGGAAGGGUCUCUGGUUGCGUAGUAAAGCCACGAGGCGGCCCAGAGGAGUUCGUCUCCGUACCCAGAGGAGUUGUAGUACUUGCCCACUUGUGGAAUGCUGACGCUGUAUAAGCCUCUGUAGAGGUCUGCAAAGGUGAAAAGCUCCUCUGCGUUUGCCCGCAGGAGAUCGGAGUAGUGAGGGUCUAGCUGCUUGAAGACGAGUGAUGCCGAUGCCAUGGCGGCUGCUGCUUCUGCUACCACGUCGGAUCCUGGGUAGGAUGCGUUUACUUGAGUUAGUGGGCGCUUCUCGUUUCCCAUCCUCUCUGGCUUUUCCCAGCAUUCAUGGUCGAUUCCCGGAUCCCCCACCUUCAAAACAAACAAAAACGAAGUGUGUGAGUCUCCGUAUCAUCCACGUUAGAUGGGUUAGUGAGUAAUAAUAAAAUCAAAUUUUGUACACCACUUCACAAUUUGAAUUAAUGAAAUAUAAUAGUUUUUCGUAUGAUAUGAUAUUAAAACUUUCGAAAAUUGAAAGGAUUCCAUUUGGAUUCCCAGCAGUCUCAAUCAGUGCACACAUGGACAGAAUCAAAAUUGAAACAUGACGGAUUUAAAUUGGAAAUUUAUAUAUCGAGUAAUAAAUUCAUUUUCUAAAUCUAAUACUAAGAUAAAAAUGUACAGCAUAAAUACUCGUUUGUACCUGUAUCAAUUGAAACAAAUUUGAAUGCGCCGUCAAUUGUUUUUUUCCCUUUAAUUUGGAUAUUUUGAAUUUAAUUUUGCGGUUACUAACAAAUAAAUAGUCAAAUCCAUUAGUCAAAUUACACAACCAUCGAUUUUUUUAUAAAAAUAGUGCUCAUCGGGGUUAGAGAAUUAUAAAGUCAGGACUCUUCCAGACUACUUAUAAUUCCGACACCAUCAAAUAUUGAGCCGAUUUGAAAAAAUACACUAAACUAGAUUAGAAAAAAUCAGAAUGUAUACAUGAUAUAGUGUUCUGGACCGAAAUUGGACUAGCCAGGAUUUACUUGGAACUCCCUCAUUAUCCGCCCCUUCAUGACUCUCAAUGACUCCUUCUAGUUCUGACACAGUCAAACAUUGAGCUGGAUUCAAGAAAAUUACAAAUAUAUACACAAUUUUAAUGUUCAGACCAAAAUUUGGGUGAACCCGAACUCACCUCCGCUCACCAUAUCUCUUCCCCGGGGGCGGAUACAGGGGGAGCCCGGGGGAGUCACGUCUAAUUUAUGUAUAUAUUUACGAUUAUUUCGAGUUUGACUCAGGACAACUUUAGAUCCAGCUCAGUGUUUUGCUAUUCCGGCUCAAUACUCGAUACAUAUUAAUGAUCAUUUCGACUCUGUAUUUGCAUAUACUAUUACUUGGUUAGAAAAAUUCACCGGUGGCACAUUCAGUCUUUAAUUAUAACUUGUUUUAUCUAAAAAUCGCACAAUAUAUUGAUUAUGUAUUUUUAUAUUUUAACCUAAUAUUAGGUUUUUACAAAAAAACUUAAAUUAGUUAUUCAAUACCUAAAUUUUGGUUGAAAUCCGAUUUAAUGCAUGUUUCGAUAUAAAUCCGCCAUAACUUCCCCUACGUCCACAUAACUCCAAACGAAGGUUGCAAACUCGCAGAUUGUUUCAGAGCUAGCUCUGACAAGAUGAUCAAAUUAAAGGGGGAGUUUACCUGAACAUAGAACUCGUUGGGGGAAGGGUGGGCGUUGAUGAGGAAGUCAGUGAUCCAUCUGAGAGAUUGUUGAGCAUGAACAAGUUGGUCAACGGAUGCCAUCCUUUGACCGUACUCGAGAAUGGACCAGGACAAUAGGGUGGCCGUGAAAGCCAUCGGAAACCCGAAUUUGACAUUGUCGCCGGCGUCGUAUAGCCCUUUCGAUAAGUCCAAGUUCCUCUCGCUUCCGUCUCGCAAAGCCGAGUCACCUCUCCAAGGGAUUCUGUUUCCCGACGUUGUUAUCUUACCAGCUGCACCAACAAACAAACAAAAUUAAACACUCGGACUCUCUUGAUAAAUGCACAUGUAGGAUCAUUAUUUGCUUAGUUACCAUAUAAAAAUCAAUCUAAAUCAUUUCUCGUCAAUUUGCGUAGGAUUAUUUACGAAUCGAUUUUUUUAUAAACGAACUGAAUUUUAUUAUGCUCAAUCUUGACUGAUUAUUUUUUAGGCGAGCUCGAGAUUGAUCUAGAAAGUUUUAAUUUAUGUCGAGCUCGAGUACCUUCGAGCAUUAUCGUUAAUUAAUCUUAAGUAUCUAAAUUAGAGCUCAACUCAAACUUUACUCUUUAAAACCUCUAAUAACUCUAAUUUGAACUGAAUUUAAAGGUUGCAACACUAUAAAACAUCGAUUGGUCAAUAGUACAAGAAAUAGUUAGCCUCAAAUUUAUAAAUUUCUACUUUUCCAAUGAAAUAGUUAAACAUAAAUAAUGUAUCAUUUAAUGUUCAUUAGUACAGUUAUAAUACUUAAGAUUUAUAUAUGGUAUAUAAUAUAGGGAAACACGUUGCAUCAUUGAGUCUAUUAAUGAGUCAUAUAAUCAAACUAGCAUUUGAGUUGGCUAUCGAGGUCAAACUCGAGCUUGAACCAUCUCUCGAGCCUAUAUAUAGAGUUGAACAUACCAUGUCUCAAGUUUAACUCAUUUUUAACUUAAGUUUUUUUAGUUGAACACCGAGAUACAUGUGAGCGGCUUGACUCAUCAAUAACCCUAAACACGAUUUAUUGAAAUGUAGUAGUUCUCAACAUAAUAUCAGAGUCUUUAAUGACCUAAAGGUCUCAAUUUCGAAUCCUGUUAUACCUCAAUCUCUACACAUGACUUUAAAUUUGCGCAAAUCUCACCUCUGCAGAAAACUUCCGUUUGAAGGAGAAUAUUAAUAUAACAACCAAUCUAAAGAACUCUCUUAACCAUUCGGACUAUAUGAGUAAUUACGUACACUUCUGGACGUCGAAAAACUGGACGGCAACACUCAGAGCAUCGGCGUAGUUGUCGAGGAUAGGUCCGGAAGCGAGGCCGGGGUGUUUGUUGUGGCGGCGGAAGUGGUGACGGAGGGUGAUGAGAGUGUAGAUGCCUAAUGAUACAACCAGAACGGCAAGACAGGUAGCUAAGAAACACCAUCCCCAGAACUCGUUCUUCCUCACCUCGACGUUCUUUGUCACUGCUUCGACUUCCUUCUGUGGAGUCUUUGGAGGCUUCAGCUUCUUGAUCACAAAUUCCAUCGAUUUCAUUAUGUGCUUUUCCGCGACAAUUCCGAUGAACGGCGGGAUCGACGUCGGAUACAGAUAGAAGAAGUUCCUUUUGCUACUGCUGAUGCAGAGUUAUAAAUAUUCCUUUGUAAGAUAGGUGGAUUGGGACAUGACGUGGAUGUUGAGGGUUAGAAAGCCGGUUGACAAAGUCGGCUGCAGGCUUCGCUCAUUCCACUUUGUUGCUUGGUGCUUAGCCGGAGAAGGACUGACUCUGACUCAUACACGGUGGCUGUGUUUGGAUGUUUUUAAGUUCAAACCAUUCGGAUCAUGACUGUGAUUGCUUGUCUAGUAUGAAUCAAGGGGAAUAAUUUAUUGUUUGAUAUAAAAAAAAUCUUUGAUCUUGCAAAUCAAAUGAUUCUUACGGCUGUAUGAGUCCAAAUUAUGUAAAUUAUAAAAUGCCGAUGGAAUUUAAUCCCAGUCACGGACAAACAAAACACUGGUUAGUCUCUUUAGUUUCUAUCUAUUUCAUCACUGUUGCUCUGUGAAAAACUAAAGGUUAUGGGAUGAUGUGUCUGUACUGUUGUUUUCAGCUGAAGAUUCCGCCGCCUACCCUGCUAUCCUGCCACUUGUACACUCUGUCUCACCGCCGAUCCAACGUCGUGUUGCUUAUCAACGUCCUCCGCAUUACCAUAUCUUCCAUGCCAGAUUUCUGCUUGCAUUCAAAUGCUCCGUCAGCAGACUUUAUUUUUGCUCCAAGGAAUCUAACAGAGGAAGAGAUUGUUACAGCAUGCAGUUUGAAAUCAAACAUGAAACUUUCAAACACCCAUCUCAGUUGUUAGAUCCAGCUCUGACGAUUUGACUGAUCCGAUGGUAUUACAGCUUUAACUAAGUGAUUAGGUUAGUUAAUUAAUAAGGCAAUUUAAUUAUUUUUUGAUUUCACCACCUCCGGCAACAUUUCGACCACGUCCCAAGGACUUAUUUAGUUAUAAAGGUUUGUAACUAGUUACACAAAUUAAUAACUAGUUAUAUUCUUCUUAGCACCUGAAGGAAGCUUCACCCUGUAAUCAAGAGAUGCUUAUCUAAACUUAGCAUCCAUUCUAACCUACCUGUGUUGGUUCCGGCAGCGACGGCGACUCGAGAGUUUUAAGAUGGUGGUGCAGGCUUAGCGGAUAUUUUUAUAUGUUACAGCAAGCCCUAGCUCCGCUAGAGUAUUCCCGGGGGCCCGAAUUUUGAAUCGGGCCUGAAUAAUAGGCCCAGGAAAAUCAGUCCGGGUGUGUUGAUGUGGCGUCUUAUUAUUGGUUGUGAUUACAACUGGAUCAAACCGAAUUAGAUCCAUUGAUGCAAAGUGUAGUGCAGUCGUCACCGAUAAAGAGGUGUUAUCGAGAGAGUAGGAACGAGGCGGAGAGGGGAAGAAGAUCGAUUUUACAGCUUUAACGGCGAAAAUAGAUUCCGAUCGGAAGCGCAAGAAGGAUUCGAUCUCUACGGAGGAUCGAAGAGCGAAGGAGAAAGAGAAGGAAAGAGAGCGGGAGAAGAGCAAGAAGAGAUCGAAGCCAAUGGCGUCGGGGAAUCAGGUGAGGGCUUCCCACAUACUGAUAAAGCACGAGGGAUCCCGCAGGAAAGCUUCGUGGAAGGACCCGGAAGGCCGUGUCAUCAUGAACACCACCAAAGAGAGCGCCAUCGCUACCCUCAAACAGUUCCGCGAGGAUAUCCUCUCUGGGAAGGCUAAGUUCGACGACGUUGCAGCUCGCCACUCUGAUUGCAGCUCUGCCAAGCGCGGCGGGGAUCUCGGUCAGUAAUUUUUUGCUUCUCGAUUUCGUUUCUUUAAUCUUGCUUUCAACUGUCUUGGCAUGGUACUUCAUGGUGGGUAUUAAUACCGGAUCUCCUUGGAUUUUGAUUCUUUUCAAUAGAUCGUAGAAUUUUGUAGCUAGCUAUAGUGCUAUACUGAAUUUCUAUUUCCAAGGUUUUGGGUAAGGAUUUGCAUAGAAGGGAAGAAAUUGAAAUCAAAAUCCUGCAUUCCCUUAGUUUUAUCUUAAACAAACUAAAAUGAACUCACAAGUUUGGUAAGCAAGGCUAUUAGUUGCCUGCUUUAUGUUUUUAUGGGAGAAAGAUUUGCCCUCCAUGUCUGAGAUUAUGGUUAGAGACUUAGGGUUAAGGCCGUUUUAUGAGUUCGUUGUCAAGAUUCAAACUUUAACUGCCUCAACAGAAGGAAUGUCAAAAUCCAGGCAUGUGGAAAAACCUUGUCUUCUUUUCUAAGCUUCUAAAAUGAUUAAAGGUAUCUGCUUCAUGAGCUUUCUGAUGCAUGCUGUGAUCCCUUAAGGAUUGAGAUGAAAGAAGUUAGGAACAAACAAAAUGCGUGGUUGUCCUCUUUGUGAGAUACCUUGUAGUUCAGUUCAAUUGUGCUCGAAGCAUGUGCUUUGCCAUUGAUGCUCUGUGUAACAAUUAGGCGAUCCUCCUAGUUCUGGCAUUAGAUUUUUCUGUAAACUCUUAUUAUAAACACAAUUCUGAAUUGAUAAAGUUGCAGUCAUCUGAUCUUUCUGUAUUGCUAAAUGUUGUACAGGUCCAUUUGGACGUGGGCAGAUGCAAAAGCCUUUUGAAGAUGCAACAUUUGCCCUGAAAGUUGGCGACAUAAGCGACAUAGUGGACACCGACAGUGGUGUUCACAUCAUACUCAGAACUGCUUAGGCGUCAACCAGCGAAAAAUCUUGAGCUAUAUCUGAAGAUGGUGAAUGCAGCAGGCAUACAUCUUGGACCCCGUUCUGUGAGCGAUCCGGUUUUACUUUCGCGUAUGCAACCUUUGGUUUGGAUUUCGAUAAUGAGACGCCUGAUUUGAUUAUUUCACAGUACUGGUACAUGAGUGUUGUUUGUAUUCCUUCGAGUAAGGAUGUUUCCUGCUGCUUGGGAGUGUGUUGUUAUGUGCCGAGAUAUGGAUAAUGGUUGGGAUUUGGGAUUGUUCCAGUCCUCAGCAAUUACACACACACAGUCGUAUGUGCCAGUUAUCACACGAUUUAAAUUUUGAUUAAGGUUUGAUUAAGUUCUUACCUCAGUCGAUUACUCAAAGCAAACCAAUGUCGGACGGUACGAUUUGGAGUCGAAGUUGGGUAAUGAAACUAAAAGAAGUAUAUAAUUAUGGUUAGCGACGGUUUAAACGGUAACAAGGGCUUGCUACUGUGAGCUGUGACUAACAACUUCAAUUAUGGUCUAAACUUUAGUCGCAGUGUUUGCGCAAACCGUGACAAUGGGUGGUUACGGGUUAAGCCUUGACAAAGGGUGUUCUCGGCUAUUUAACGUCGUGGAAGAGGCGAAACAAAAUCAACUAACUCUGAUGCGGUGAUGCUGAUGCAAUAGGGAUAACCAUUUACAUGUACUGAAUGAAGGUCACCUAAAUAACCCUUAGAUCGUCAGUGCAGUGUGCAACUUUGGUGGAAGAACUCUUCAGUGAAACUGAAGCUGGACAUCUGAUUCUUCUUCUGUAAAUUAAAAAUAUUUCAGCUGGAAAGCAGCAGCAAGAGAAACAAACACAUUCCCUUUCCGGAGCAUCCACGUGUCCGCUAUUUAUCCGUUUAAUCAUCGUCCACGUGUACGUCACAGAUCGCCCCCUUUAACACGCUGGCAAUCACCACCACCUUCGAUCGUACCAAUCACAGACCUCUUCUGGGUUCUUCACUUGGAUAUUCCUCUACCGCUAUAGAACACCAAAUUGGAAGUAGACGUCAUUCAUUCAUUACGCUACCAUCCAACUACAAUACUCCCUGUUUUGUAGCUGCUGGCAUGGCUGAUGACAAGGAAAAUCAAGUUCCAGUCACUGAUCCUCAAGUAGUGCAGCCACCGGCGCCGGGAGGAGGAGCAGAAGAAGCCGGUGGGAGAAAACCGCCGCUCAUCCACCUUAUUUCCAGGUACUUAGGCCACGUUUUCCGCUAUUUUGGAUUCAAGGCCAAAUAUGUACCUCUCCAAUCGGAAUUUGGCCCCCCUGAAAUUAGUAAUUAGUGUUUGAUGAUGAUGAUUGCAGAUGAUCAAAGAAGCUUUGAUGGCGUUGGACGAGAAGAGCGGAUCGAGCCCGUACGCUAUAGCGAAGAAAAUGGAGGAAAAGCACAAAGCGGUGCUUCCAGCUAAUUUCAGGAAGACUCUGGCGGUGCAGCUGAAGAACUCGGAAGCCAAGGGGAAGCUGAUCAAAAUCAAAGCUUCUUACAAGCUCCCGUCAUCCGAGUCGGGAAAGAAGAAGAAGGAGAAUAAAUCAUCAUCUCAUCCUCCGUGAACCUCACCUAAAGCCAGAGCUGCUGCAGCUGGUGUUGAUCUUGCACAGAAGAAGAAGAAGGAGAAGAAGGCUAAGACCAAGUCUGUAAACGAUCCAGAGACUGGGAGGAAGAAAUUGGUUCCGAAGAAAUCGGUUGGUGGUAGCAAGGCGAAACAGCCGAGGUCGAUCAGGUCCCCUGCUGCUAGAGCCAAGAGGGCUAACGCCGCUGGUUAACGAGUUUUAGUGGUUUCUUUUCAUGUAAAUGGAACUUUUCUGGUUGACGACAUUGGUUCUGGAGCUUCUUGUGUGUUUUCCAAUGGUCGAUUUUGGCUUCGCCCCCUUGAUGUAUGGAGAGAGAGUGGACUGACAUUUUCUGCAGGUGGCGAUGAAACAGUCGGUAAGUCGAAGUGAUUAGUGUGAUGGGUUUUUGGGUAGAGGGAUGAUGCGGGGCUGUUCAAAUUGUGCUCAACGCUAAAACAAGUUCGAAUUCGAGCAUUUAGCUUGUGUCGAGUUCGGGAUUAUUGGAUUUUGACUCGUCUUGAAGAGUCAAACUCGAUCUCAACUUAAACAGUUUAAGUUGAGUUCGAAGUUUGUAUAUUUAAAAAUAUCAACAAUUAAAGCUAAAAAACAAACAUAAAUAAUGUAACACUCGCACUUAUGUCAAUGCAUAUUGAUUUUACUAACGUGUUAUAUAUUCGAGUUAGUAUAUAUCGUAGCUCAAACUUGAAUCAUUAAGCGUCAUUGUUUAUAAGCAUUAGAACACUGACAGACACCAAUCAUCUCGUUCUCAACCAACGUCUAUUACAAAAUGUUACAAAGCAUAGUUUCUACUAUCACUGGCAAAUUUACAAAGCUUGGUCAAAGCCUAUUUUUUGCUGUUACAAACAUCAUCAUCAUCAUCAAUUCAUGUCAUAGAAACAUAACACGAAUCCAAAACAAACAAACGAACAAAAAAAUCAAAUCAUAUUUAUUUAUAGAUUAGUGGAAAGUUCAGGAAAACCUUAUAAGAUGGAAAGCACGCUUCGUUUCCAUAAGGAAGUUCUUCUCCUGUUCAGUUUCGGUGUGAAAUUGAGGAGUCCAAACAUCCCCUUCAUGGCAAGCUCUUUCCCUUCGUCGAAACCAACUAGCUUCGCUACCACAUUGGCGCUCUCCGAAAUGUGAUCCAUGUCACUCGUCUUGGUCCACAGCCGGCUCACCAGUUGCAGUCUUCUGUUUUGAGAGUUCAACUUGAUGCCCCAUCUCAAGAAAAGGUUCUCCCUUUCUUCCUUGGUCAGGUUCCUCUGCAUUUGCUUGCACAGCAUAUGCUUCUCUUCAUCCAAGGCUCUUUUGCUGUGUCAGACAAAGUAGAAAUUAUCUUCACCAGCACAUUUGAUGUUAGAUAAAUGGAACUGUUCAAUCUUUACAAAGUUCAACCCAAAUAACAACCAUUUUCAACUAUAACAAAGCAAAAAAGUCAAGCUUGUAAGACUUGGACUAUCCAUCUAUUUCACUAUUAUGAUAUGGACGAAAUUUUUUAGGGAUUACAACAGGAAGGUAUCAUUGAUAAAGGAAAAUUUGGGGCUUGGGGCUAUGAAUAAAGUGUUUGGCGGGCAACCCAACCCACCCACCCACUUUUGCACGGGUUGGGUUACAACAGGUGGGUUUAGUAGGUAACCCAACCCAAUGCUCAGCCCUAGCAAAUAGCAGAAUAGGAUGAUCGGGUACCCAGAGCAGGAUUUCAAGUUUACAGUAAGUUUGAAAGCUACAUUGGGCGAAAUUCGUGAACACCCUAGGGGGAAACUUCGAUUUUGAAUAUUUUACAUAUGAUUUCUUCACUUUGGAACUGAAGGACCCUAGGCGGUGGGCUAGAUGCGCCCAACCCUGGUUCCACCAUUGGAUAAAUGCAGAAUUAUAAGUUACCUGGAAGAUGCUGUCAUGACUUCUGAAUGGGCCAUAGGCUGCUGGUUGCCUUUGGAAUAGGUGUCCUUCAGGAAAGACAGUCUUCUGAGCUCCACCUCCAUGUAGAAAGAAUCCGCAGGAUCACCUUUGAACAGAAGAAAGAAAUAGGUUCUGUGUACUAAGGAAAUGUUGCACGAAUGCCAAAGCAGAAUGAUCUCUCCUUGCAGCCUCUGGAAUUCCGCAGGCCAUGAUGGAGAAGUUCCUCCAUCGUCUUGAAUGGGAUCCAAACCCACAUCUCUCUUUUCAGGUACUACAGCCAGACUUGAUUCAGGCAUGUCUGUAGUUGCAACAGCCAUGUUUCUAGCUCUACUGCUCCUCCAAUCACUAGGAGUUUCGCCAUUGUGAUCAAGAUCAUCAGCACCAGGAGUAGUUUCAGAAUCCUGAGAGCUUCUCCCUGAUAACCCAUCAUUUUGAAGAUCGUACCUCAAGGGGAAAAUCGGACCAGCAACACUUGCUCUUCUCUGAGUGAAACAUUUGUCGAAUAUGGACGGAGGUGUACUGUCAUGCUUUUCUGUCCUCUCAAACCAAUGAGUUGAUUUGGUUGUUACAGCUGCUCUAGCGCUUUUGCUCCUGAUCAACCUCAAGCUUCGAGGGGUAUAUACGUCUUCCUCCAUCAGCCAUGGAGAUUUCUCCGGGGAAGGUAUAAUGAAGUCCCUUGGAGAUGAUGUCUCACUGCCUAUCCUGUUAAAAUCAGAUGGCGAAUCAUUCACCUCUUUCUGUUGGAUUGAAAAUGAACCCGGUCCUUUGUUUUCCCUAGCUUCUUCUUCUGUCGUCUCAGCUUCCUUCUCCUCCUUUAGAGGAGAUGAAGCUAGUUUUUCUUCCUUAUCCUCCAUCUCCUUCUCAUUCUUCACUGGCGACGAAGCUAGUGAUUUCUUAUCAUCAGUUUCUUGCUCAUCACUCAUUGGAAAAUGAACUAGUUUUUCCUUCUCCUCAGCUUCUGUCUCGCCCGUUGGAGAAGAGGAAACUACUUCUCUCUUCUCCUCGUCUUCUUCCAUCUCCUCCUUCAAUGGAGAAGAAACAGCGUCUUUGUCCACCUCAGUUUCUUUCUCCUCCUUCGAUGGAGAAUAAACAGCUCCUUUGUCCAGCUCAGCUUCUUUCUCCUCCAUCAAUGGCGAAAAAACUAAUUCCUUCUCCACCAAAGGUGGUUCUUCUUCCUCCUUAAGUGGAGACAAGACUAUUUCUUUCGCUUUGUGAGUUUCAUCAUCAACCUCUGGACGAGGGGGAGAUGAAACUACAGAGUCGGAAUGUUUGUUAUUAGGGCUGGAUGCUGACUCUAUCACAUUGGACGAAAUGCUGCUGCUAGUGCUGGCCGAGUUGUCGACCUCGAUGCAUUGCACUUCUUUGCAGGGAAUGGGUAUUAGACUCUCAUGAAUCUGCUGCUUUUCAUUUUCCAUCUCAUGCGCUCCACCUUUAGUACGUUUAUUAUCGGUUGUGUAUGAUAUGUCUGGCGAGGCAUAUGACUGAAGGAACUCUUGAAAUUCGGCGAGUUGGUUAAAGGUCUCAUCAGAUAUUAUGCUGCAUUGGUCCUCUGAAGUUUGGGAUGGUUCAAAAGAUCUUACUGUCAUGCGGGGAUCCUCAGAAAUUGGUGAAUAUGAUAUCGAGGUCUCCGAUUUCCAGGAAUUCUGAACUCGCAACUUUGGGUAUUGCUGACCCGCCUCUACCUCCUGUAAGACAACGAUGCACAACCAUCAGGACCAGUAGAAAUGUAAGAGGAACAAUGAUUUUUAAAGGAAAUGGAAGAAACAAACCCAUGGAAAUGAGACUCUGACUCUCUCUGGUUGCUGAUCUUCAACACGAGAUUCAACUACGUUUAGUUGUCUAGUCAGAUCAGCUACUUCUUUCGUAAGCUGCAAGAAAGGUCACAAAAAGGCAUUAAAAUUAAUGUUCCAGCCAUCCCUAACAAAAGAGCUGAUAAUGAACUAACAUUUUCAAUUUCCUGGUCCUUUUUCCUCAAUAAUUCAGUGACAUUUGACGAAACAGGUUUCGAUCCUGCACUUCUUAAUUCGUUCUCCAAUCUUGCCAGUUCUCUUUGUAGUUGCUUAACCAAUGCUUUAUCAGUCAUAACAACAUUGACCCGUGCAUUAGUCGAAACUUCUUUAGCACAACUAGCAAAUAGGAGUGUGUUUCUGGACUGCUCUACAUGGGUUCGUGCAGGGCUCAUUGUGCAGAUAAUGGCAGUCCUAGCAUUUCCUCCCAAGGACGACUGCAAUAUGCGAGUCAACUUUGAAUCUCUGAAAGGGAUAUGCCCAUUCCUUCCUUUACUGCACUCGGUCACCAAAUAAUUCAAACAGACAUUACUUGGUGCACGGAAUCUUGUUAUAUCAUCUUAGAGCUUAUCUAUUUAAGGAUUUCUAAGGGAGCAAUAACAUUUCUCAAAUCUUGAUGCACUUUUGGAUUAGAAAGACCAAGUAAGCGAACCUUAGUUUACGGAUAACAGUCCCCAAUGUCAGUAAACUGCGAUUUAUAUGGCAACCUUCUUUUAACCUCAUGCCGGCAGACAUUGCCUGAGACGCACGCUCACUUCCAGCUAAAUCGAUAAAAUUCUGCAAAAUCAAAGAACUAUUUAUACCACCAGCUAUUUUGUCACUGUAAGAUGAACAGUUAUUCACAUAUCUUAUGGGUUAUUACCACAGUAGCCGAGAGAGUGCUCGACUUGUCUUUUCCUAGAAACUCAACUGCAGAACUGUCAAUUGUCUGAAACGUACAGCAUACCAGCAAUCACACAAUUCAGCAAUGUCGUUAGAGUAAAAAUUCAAAGAGAAGUAGAGAAGAUUAACCAGUCAUACCAGCCUUAAUAUUUGAUGAGAUCUAGAGCUUGUCUCAUUAAGGGAAGUCUCCCCUAUUUGUCUCUGAGCUGUAAAAAACAUACCGAUACAUGGUUUAACUAUGCAUUCUUUAUGCUUAUAGUUCGAAACAUGUACUCAAGAUCCCUCUUUUCCCUACCUUCACAAAUUGACAUGAGUUCUUGAAAAUGAUUCCAAUCUCUAAGAGUUUCCUCAGUCAACCGCUCAACAACAGUCCCUCUCUGUUUGCAUAAAAGAAUGAAUUAUCACUAUCAAAGUCCAAAAGAAUAGCAAGCUCUUUACCACUAUGGAGAAAGGGAAUCACCUCUGGAUCGUCUAGAAGUCGAAGAGGAGUUGAAUCCACACUAAGGAGGUCUCUAACAGAUUCAUUGUAAAUCUCCAUUGCAGAGAACUUCAAGCUAAACUCUCUUUCCUUGUGCUGAAGGAGAAAGACAAGAGGACGGUUUCAGUAAGCAAUGUAAAUAAGGAAACAAGUGCACGGUGAAGCAUACCAAAAAUAUUCAGGAAGGAACUUACUCUCUCCACAUACUCAUAUAUAUCAGCUACAGUAUAGUGGGUGAUCCCCCGCAUUGUGUAUGUCUUUCCGCUACUCGUUUGUCCAUAAGCAAAUACACUUGCUGUGACAAAAUCAACCUAAGAAAUCAGUCCAUGCCAAACUUAAAAUGAAGAGGUUCAGACAAAUUACUCUAACAGCAACAGCGAAUCAUACUUACAAUUUAUACCGCUGACAACAGAAAGAGCAACUGCCUUAGCCCCGUCCUUAUAGACCUGAUUUGUCGGACAAUCAGGACCAAAGACUUUGUCUGAAGCCACGAAAGAAAAAUGUUGAUUCAACAUAACAUGAAAAGUUGCUCAACGUCAAAGAAAUGAGCAGUCUGAAGAGCAUGCAUUAGUAUAAAAGGCUCCCAGUGCCUUAAAACUGGAUAUAUAUAUAUAUACAAAAGUCAAUUUCCUAACUUCCAAUCAGAGUCAAGUACAAGUUCGUGAAAUGUAAUCCCAUUGGCAGCACACUUUCAUUAACAUAGGAAUUUGUUCACUAAAAGGUUCAAGAAGAAUGAUAUAAGGUAAGACUCUUCUUACCAAAGGUAUAUGCAGAUGGGUACAUUGAACGAUCAGAGACAGAGAGAUUGUUUCUGUAAAUGACAGUGGUGUCAUUGAUGCAUUCCCAGUCCGACACAUCAUGUCUUGUAGCUUCCUUCUCAUUCAGGGGCCUUACUCGAACCGAUACCAAAAUUUUCUCUUCCCCGUCUUUUGGUUCGUAGAUCGACUCUUCAUCUUCAACUGCCCCCAUCUCUCUCCCUCUCAGUUCUCUGCAAAAAUCAUAUAAUGCUCAAGUUCUCUCUGCUCCCAACUCUUCUUCACCCAACAAACAAUGUAGUCUCUGUGAAAGGAUAUUGUUGACCACUAACAAAGCUUUUUCCUUUCGUGGCUCAAGAGAAAGCAUGAUUGCAAAGCAAGCCAUAACAACCACAUGGCCAAAACAAAAACAAAAUAUAAUUUAACUAAACACGAACUAAACUAAUGAACUAAUGAUGGAAAGGAAUUACGAGGCAAAAUUCACCGACACUUUUGGUCGGCUUUUUUUGUCUUAACUCGGAAACCCUUCAUUAAGUCAAUGUUGAAUAAAAAUAAAAUAUUGAUAGGUGAGGGAGAGUGCAAGGUUGUAAUGCAGAAAGGAAAAUGAAUGAAUGAACCAAAAAAGAAGAACAGGGGAAGGGUCAAACAAACUGAUGAAUUAAUGAAUAGCCGAAGAUUGAGACAGAUAUGGAUGGACCCUUCUUCUAUACUAUAAUGGUCCCCCCGCCCUAUUUACAGUCUGUUAAGUGCGGUUUUCACUCUUAUGCGUCUUCACAUGUUACCUCAUUUCCCAAAGGAACUUAUUAGUCACUCACACUUAACCAACCAAAAUGAAUUAAAAAUGUUGGGGAAGAACAAGAAAGAGAGAGAACCUAAUCUAGAUAUUGUAAAAUUUAUAAUGCAAGAGGGCGAGAUAAAAAAUGGAAUUUGAUUUGGUGUAACCUGUUUGGGAUUGAGAAUUUCAGAGCCUGUAGCGUAGAAUGUCUGUUGCUAUCGUUGAAAUUUUUCUGGGAAAAGGAUUCUCGCUAAUUCCAUGUGCGAAGCUGGAAUGUAUGAGAAGCUGAGCCACCAGCAACCUGCCCGUCCCACAAAGUCUGGAAAAAAGCAGACACCCUCUCUGAUUGGAUUGGAUUGGAUUGGAUUAGCCUCUCUCAACUUUCCCCGGUUUGGCAGUUUCGAUGGCGUCGAGAAUUUCAGCCCUGCCAUGGACAAUAUUAGCAACAGAUUCAGUUUAAGGUCGCUACCAAACUUCCAAAUAUGGCUACAUUGUUACGAAAAUCUAAAUUCCAGCAAAAUUCUCCAAAAAUACCGAGCGGGGCGGGAAAAAAUAAAAAUGAUGUGAAAUUGAGUGAAAGGAUUCAAUUCAAGUGCACUUUGAAUUUGAAUUAAACAGCGGAAUCCCGCCGGAAACGAUAAAAAAAUCAUGAUCAAAAGUUAUGAAAAGCACAUUGGACAGAAAUAUGGAGCCCAAAGUAGUCAUAGCAGCUCAACGGAAAGUCGAGGCAAAAAAAAAAAGACUGAGCGAUCUAUCGACGUUCUGAAUAGGAAUCACCUCAGGAAACCGGAAUCCAAGUAAAGAUCAGGAAGAAGAAGAAGAAGAAGGUAGGAAGGAAGCUGAACAAUGUAGGUAAAACUGGUGGAAGAAAUGUUCACCUGGAGCGAAGCAUGCUCUGACGCCUGAUCCAGAGCAGGAUUUUGCGGUACCAGAGAAGAGACCUAAUGGAAUUUAAGCGACGAAAGCAGAGCCGGAAAAGCAGGACUUGAGGAAAUACGAAGAAGAAGAAGAAGAAGAAGAAGAAGGAGAAAUAGAGAAGGGGGGAGGUGUCCAGAAACGGAGAAAACAGUAACCAGUCGUUUUCGCCUUUCGCCUUUUGCUUCCUUUUCUUUGAUUUUAAAAGGCGGGGGGCAACGCGAGAAAAUAGAGAGAAGAUGGUCUUCGCGGAGUAGUUGGAUUUAGGGGUGGCUUGGUUCGUCAUUCUCUAAACUAAACUUAAGCAAAAGUGUGGCAAAUCAUCAUCAAUUUACCUUAUUAAUGCCCGGCCGCGUAAUUUGUUUCGAUCGAUGUAUUAACAAACCAAAUAAAAGGUGCAAACCUCACAUACGAUACGAUGCUAUAUGGAUAAAAAAUUAUUAUACCAAAACGGCUAACCUACUUGUAUCAUGUUUCUGGGAUCGUUACUUCCCUUAUUUGCAUCGGUGGCUUUCCUUGCUCCUUCCCACUUCCUAGGAUCUUAUAUGAUAGCUUCCACUGUGUCGUAAAGUCUACGUACGUUCAUCCAUCACACGAUGGAAAUCGAUUUCAUGGUGAAAUUGAAAAUAUACAAAUUUUUCUUCAAUUUUUCGAUUUUGACACCGCGGCUAUGUUGCUAUACAUUUGACUUCCGCUUUCUCAUUGCCUAAAAAUUGACACCCUUGGCUCGCAAUAGUCUUUCUCUCUAGUAAAUAAACAUUAUAAGGGUGUUUAUUUGUAGGAUGAUUUGGAUUUAAACUCAAAAUUUUUAGGCCGUUAAUAUACAACUCUAUCUCUAAAUAUAGACUAUAAUUUUUAUUAAUUGACAUGAAAAAUUCAAAGAGAUGUAACAAAUUAAAUCACCCACCAUCUAUUGAAAUCACUAACCCUUAUUAGAUAUUCUAAACGAUGGUUAAAAAUUUACAUGGAUUCGUCUUAUAAAUUUAAAUUUUAGCCAAUUCUUUUAAAUUUUCAUUGUCCAAAUAAAAAAGUUUGAGACCAAAUCUCCAUUCAAAUUAUCUUAGGGGUCAUUGAGUGUGAAAUUUUUGGUGGAUGAGAUCUAAAUAUGGAGAAUAUAAUUGGUUUAAAAUAGAAAAUUUAGACUAAAAACAAUUAAAAGAGAUUUUGGAAAAAUUAAAACGUUUCAUGGUGAACCCGGAUGAUUUCAAUACGGAAAUAAACCUUUUUUAAAUUUCGAAAAAUGAUAAAAUGAUUUAAUAAUAGUCUCAUUAUAAAAAUAACGAAUAAUAUCACAACAAUCUUAUUCACAAAAUAUUUCUCUAAAAUCACAAAAUCAAAGGAGCUAUAUUUUCAAAUAUUUUUCGAUGAAUAAUUACUUUUAUUCCAUAAAAAAAUCAGUAGCUCUAGACGAUCUCUUUCAACAACAUAGGGGGAAAAGACAAAGGCAAACUCAUAGCUUCUAGCAAGUUUCAAGUCACAGUGCCAACAACAACAAAAAAACAAAACACAAAACUAGGCAAUCUGCAUAUUCAUACAAUGAUGCAACUUUCUUCUCAUCCAUUCUGGCAUUCACCGUGACGAAAAUCAUCUCCGAAAUAAUUUUUAUAUUACAACAACGGUAGAGUGAGGACCAUCGAACACCCUUUUGCAUCUCUUUUUCCAAAUGGAAGAAACCAUAACACACCAAAUAACCCUCUUAACCUUGUGCACAUUUGUCUUACUCUUCUACAAACAGCAAGCAUCAUCAACAUUUUCAUCCCAACCCUUUUGACUGGAAAGUUCCGGAAGAAGUGAACAAAGAAUCUCCUGCGAAAAAUUGCAGUAGAAAAAAAGAUGACUCCUAGUAUCAACACCAUUACUGCUAAGGACACAGGAAAUAUCAUGAUCAUUCAAUUUACGAACUUUUCUCGAACUGCAAGCCGAUCACUAAAAACAAGCCGGCAAAUAAAACUUGAGUUAGGAAUCGGCCACUCAUUCCAAAUUAGAUUAGCCCAAGACACAACAUCUUGCUUUGGUCCAAUAACAUCCCAAACUCUACGAAUGCGGAAUCCAGACAUGAGUGCAAUAUCCCAUAAAACAAUACCAGCACUAUUGACGAAAACAUGGGUCUAGCAAGCUAUAUUUUCAAAUAUUACCUAACCCAUUGACUAGCUAUUUCAAUUAAUUUGCGAUUUAAAUUCACCCUCCUACGAAAUCACCCAAACAUAAAAAAAUCGAAAAAUCCAAAUAACCCCUUAAAUAAGAAAAGUAGUUAUACGGGGGAUGACGCAUCUGGGCUUGACCUUCAUCCGCCAUCGGCGGUGGUUGCUGGUCGCUCAUUGGGUUGCAAAGUUGCUUUCGAAAUCUCACUGCGUCGUUAGUGAUGGUUCAUUACCAACCACCGCGCGCUAAUCAGACAUUGAUUUUAAUGUCCGAUAUGCUAAUCAGUUUGUGCAAUCAUUGCUCCAUCUGGUAAUUACAAAACUUCACCUAAUUUGCUUACUGGCCAAGCCUUUAAUUACAUUACAUUUCAACUAAUGAUCACGAUUUUAACUACAACACAACAGCUGUGGAUCAGGAUCGUUGUAAAUAUACGUUUUGUUUUUUGACGGAACUGUUCGAAGACGGUGAAGCUUUCUGGCACGUGACUGCUCUUUCUCUGCUCUCCGUCUACACGAGACGACGGCAAAGUGUGGCAAGAAGAGGCAGGAUAUAUAAGAAGAAACUUGCAUGCUAAGUAGGUUUCAUGCUUUCUACAAUAAGCUGAUUAUCAUAUAUAUUUUAGGCUGUUGUGGCUAGGUGGGAACCGAAAUUCUUAUAGAUCCGAGAGAAAUGUCGAUUUAACGGUCUAUAAUCAAUUUCGCCAAUUUUAAUUUGACGAUUGAAAUUUUAUUAGAGGUAUAACGGGAAUUAAAAAAAUAUUCUUUAUCUUUCAACUUUUCUUUUUCUCUCCUCUUUUACUCUUCUCAUGUAAACCGGAUAUAAUAAUGAUAUACCAAUUAUGUAAUAAUGACAUAACAUGGAUAUAACAAUUUACAUAUGAAGUCGACAUAAUGAGUCUAUUAAAAGGGCAUAAUAGUAUUGUUAAUCAAUAAUUCUCGUUCGUGUCAAGAGCUUUUUUACCUUAGGGCUUAGCGUCCCUUUUUUUAUUUGGCAGAUCAUAAUUUAGUAUUCCUCCGAUUGAGAGGCUUGUAACAUCGUUUAUUAUUUUCUCUUGUCAUUCAUCCUUUUAUCUUUCGUGGACUCCUAUUCGGUGUAAAAAUGAUUAGGGUUUUUGAAGCAAAAGUCAAUUAGGAUUUUUCUUGAAGCAAAAAGAGGGUUGGAGUUUUUUGCCUCUUUCCCACUACGAAAAAUCAGAGAUGACAAUGGUGUCAUUAGGAUGAUGGAGAGGAACGAGGAAAGGACGCGCUGCAACUGGGGAAGAAGAACAGACGGCGGCGUUCGAGGGUAUACUGGAACACUAAAAAAACCUAGCAACGACAGGCCACUCGAGGUCCUGCCACUCGGAGUAAAUCACUGGCAGCUACUCACUCAAGAUUUCGACCUUUUCGAGUAUAAUGUUUUGGGUGACCCCAAUUCAGCCUCCACCGUUCGUUUAUGUUUUGCCUAAUUUCGUUUUCUGUUGGAUGUUUGAACAAUUUCUGUUUUCCUACUUCCGUCGUCCGGUUGCUUUUCGAGCUCGGGUUGUGAGCCUCCGUUCAAGGUUUUAUUUAUUUAGGUCGACCGGUAACACGAAUGUGCUAGCUAUUACUAACGCGCCGCCACACCAUACCCGUUUCAGGUGGUACUCCUUCUAAGGGUUCGAUUGGUGAGAUGAACACAUUUGACCAAGAGCUUUAAUAAUAUAUAAGUAGCCUCUUUCGAAAAAAUGACAUAAUAAAAACGCAUAACAAACUCGUAAAGUGUAGAUAUCACAGACAUAAAAGAGUGGUAAUUGGACAUAACGAUGAUGAAUUCAAUUACUCGUAAGGUGGACGUAACAACGACAUAACGAGCCUGUAAAAUGGCCGUAUUAACGGCAUAACAUGCUCGUACAAUGACCAUACUAUUGUGAUUUUUUUCCAAUUUUUUUAUUCUGAAAAUAUCCCCAUUCAAAUCAAUUUGUUUGACUCGUUUUCAGCUGUUAGAUUACAGUUAACUCAAAAGCAGGCUAAUUUUCUGUUGAGACAAUCUAUGGGUACCUACUUUUAAAAUCGUAGCCGGGUUGGGUGGGAACGACCUCUAGUAUAUAAAAUUAAUCAAUUUUUGAAAUGGAGAUGAUCGAUUAAUGCAACCUAAAUCUAAGUACUCGAAAAUUAAAAGAGGCGGGGGGGGGGCGGGGGGGGGGCAGGGACGGGGGCGGGCGCCGAAAAAGCCAUUUGUCAGACCGCCGGCGGCGGCGGCAGCCAGAUCGGCAUUUUCCACCGGCGACACUCUCCACAGAAGGUCAGGACACAUAACAAAAUUGGGAUAGACUGCCGUAUUCCGACGUAAAUUUGGUAGGAGGUGGUUGGAAAAAUGAUCACCUCUGAAGUUUCUUGUUUUAUUUAUGGUAAAAAUUCGUGGUUGCAAAAUAAAUCGGAAGUUGGCAAUUACUACUACUGCAUCUUGUGUUGGGUCAGAUAGUUGCUUAGAGAAUUUGCCCGGAAACUUCCUACCGAUCGGAAGGUUCGUCCAUUACCAAGUACAAAUCACAAAAAAAGCUGAACGGAACAUUUCAUCUGGCCUCUGGGGUUUAUAAAACCCGCCAUCAAAAGCUACCGAGAAAAGCAUAAAGUAGAAGAAAAGAUCAGAAGCUAUGGUGGAGGAGAAUGAGAUAGAGGAAGUGAGGAGCUACAUCAGCAGCAGCAGCAGCCAGCAGGCACUGCCACUGGUGUCUUUGAAUCACGUGUCGUUGAUGUGCAGGUCGGUGUGGGAAUCAACGAGGUUUUACGAGGACGUGAUGGGCUUUCUCCUCAUUAAGCGCCCUUCUUCUUUCAACUUCACCGGCGCCUGGUAUUAUAAUAUUUCCGUUUCAUCAUCAAUUUUCUAUUCUGAAAACCAUUAAUUUCUCUCCGUUUCUGCUGGUUCAUCAUCAAAUCAAGGUUGUACAAUUAUGGAAUUGGGAUACAUCUUAUUGAGAACACAUCACUGGAUACUGAUCAAUUCGAGCCGCGCCCGAUCAACCCCAAAGACAAUCACAUUUCAUUCCAAGUAAGAUGAUAUGAUGAGCUAGCGAUACGUCAUAAUAUAGUCAAGAUCUCGAUUUUGAUCUUAAAAAUCUCUCUGUUUUACGAUUUUAUCAGGGUUUAAUGAUCUGUUUAUUUGUUACUAGUCUACAGAUGUAAAGGUCGUUCAGAGGAGGCUGGAGGAGUUGGGGAUGAGAUACGAGACAGCAGUGGUGGAGGAUGAUGAAGGGGCGAAAGUGGAUCAACUAUUCUUCCAUGACCCAGAUGGUUACAUGCUGGAAAUCUGCAACUGCGACAACAUCCCGAUCUUGCCCCACUCCACCUCCAAGGAGAAAUCUGCAGGAGGAGCAAAAUGUGGGAUGUUGCUGUUAAUGGAGAAUGAGAUGAUGGAGAGCUUGAGCAUGGAUAUCAUGAACCUUGCCUUUUGACACUUCAGUUUGUUCUUCUGCUCCUUUUGAAUGUUACUGUCUACAAUUUGUCGUUUCUUAUCGAAGAAAUAAUAAUACUCGCCAGCUUGUCUUCUUGUUGUAAAACCCAACUGAGGAUAUUCAAAGUUAAUAAAUACACCACUUUGACAAAGAGUAUUUUAUUAUUCGAGCUCAAACCAUCAGUAGGUUGGCUCGGCUGGCUCGCUAGCCUGAUCAGCUCGUUAGCCCUAUGAAUCUUGCUCACGAAACAGCUCAUUUGUGGCUCGAACCAACUUGAUUGAAGCUCGCAAGCUCGGUGGUCAUAAGCACAAUAAAUAGGGCUUCAAUAUUAAGAAACACAACACAAUACAACUUUGUUUCGCAAGUCUUAGAUGUGUUGCAUUUUGUUAGUAGUAAUACAUACAAUAUGUGGCAGCUACUUACUAUUCAUGUGUUUCUUCAAGUUACACAAUUAUCUGUCGUGGUUUCACUGUACAAAUUGACAACUGAACAUAAUUUAAGUUUUAUGUACACAAGUCUCAGCAGGUGCGGUGCUUCUUCCAAAGGAUGGCAACAUCAUCAAAUACAUGCUGCUUAGUUUUGACUGUACAAUGCCCACCAGCUUCAUAUUCGAGUUACAGGGCAACAAGGCCAACUCUGCAAAUGAUACGAAAAAGAAGGAAGAUCGAGAUAAGGUAUCGAACAACGCACCAUUGGUAGAGAGAACUAAGGGUCCUUGGGUAUGGAAUUACCAUUCAUGACUGGAAAAGAGUUAUAGUAGCAAUGUGACCAUUUUUCAUCACCUGCCGUAAAAAUAAAGAUCCAAAACUACUCUCAGCAAGCAGGAUGCAUAAUCAAAGAUCGUUGCGUUCCAAAUAACUUACCUCCAAGGCAAUGUUCUGGUACCCAUAUACAAAAGUGGAUCCAAAAGGAUUGCUUGUAGAACCUUGUGUUUGGAUAGCUGCACGACCACAAUCCCCUAAGAUCCCCUGCAGGUCAGAAUUAUCUAUUAACUAAAAUGGUAGGAUCCUAUUACUAAAAGGCUGUCCAUCGACGUUUCAAUUUUUAAAAAUCAACUUUGAGCAACUGUACUACCAGAAAGAAAGCAUUUACCUUUACUUGCUCCCAUUUGGUGCUAGGGGUAAUACUCUGCUUCGAGUUAUUUACUUCAAAGGAAAAUCAAAAUAAAAGCAUCAGUUCCUAUCCAACCAUCGGCAACCAAAUUCUUCAAAGGAUUAGAUAAGGAUUCAGAACCUUGGAUAACAAAAUUGCACUUUAUGUAAGAAUUGAAGUCUGCAUGGCCAGGAUAAUUGCUAUGGAGAACAAACUUCUUAACUUUAUGGGUCUGGAAGAAAUUUAAAAAAGUUGUUAUAUGAAAGCACAGUAACUGCAGCACAAAUGAAAAGUUAAUGGAAUGGAAAGAUUGACUAUAAGCACCUGCCCAUCAAAUAAGAUGUCCAAGCCUCGAGUGAAAUAAUUAUAGAAGUAAUCAGCACAAAGUGUAGUUCGUGGAGAAGGGUCUGACGCCGAGUGGAUAACCAUCUGAUCUACCUGUAUUGGUAACAACUUAGUGUACAGAACCAAUAUGCAUGCUAAAGACAGGAAUCAAGAGCGGAUAGCAUUCCAAACUCCAAAGGACCAAUGUAUCAAAGUUCGGGAACACAUCCAGUAGAACAAUAAACUUCACAUGCUUGAUGGAAAAAAACACCAAUGCAGCAUUCCUUAGUUUCCAAGAAUUGAAUAACCAAUUCUACGCAACCUGCUUUUGAUGGAUUCCACAAGGGCGGCCUAAUUCUGUCCAUACAUCCUGCCAAAAAAGAAAUUGUGAGCAGCAUGCAAACCCAAAAAACAGCAGUAACAGCCAACAUAAAAGACAAUCAGACAAUCAAGUAUCUUCUCAAGAAGUGUGUUUUGAUUACACUUUGAAGCAUGGGUUUAUAAUACAAAUGCUUACCUGUGGUGAUGCACCAAAGGGAAUAUGCUGCCCUCCGAUUGAAAAGAACAACUCUUCACGAAGCUUCAGCAAUAAAUAAAAUACCAUUCAGCCAGAAGGCUUAGAAGUCACUAAAACUAACCAAUGAGGCAUUUCGUUGCUAACAGUACAAUAAACUAACAGACAAUAAAAAGGAGGGCAAACCUUUACUUGCACUUCUUCCAUGUACAGACUGCCAGAAGGUAAAGGAGGGGUAACAGCCUUAUCCAAAAGGGAUCCAACACCGACUUUUUUGUCACUCGAACCAUCAUAUACACAAACCCGACAUGUAACUGGUGUCGUUCCAUCUGGAAACUCCAGAGGAAGUUCAGCUGCAACAAAACAGGGAACACAAGGGUAAAACGUCAUUUGGGCUUCUGUAAACUGGGAAAUGCAGCUUGAAACGAAUGCUGCAUAAUGCAAUACCUUCUCUAUCCUGACAGCAGUCUGCAUACUGCCCAGGAAUUGGGAACGCAAACGAUAGGCCCUAAAAACAAGAAGCAAGCAGAUGCAUAAUUCAAAGACUAUGAUGGUUCCAAAGGUAUUAGUUAUAAUAAUGACUUGUGUUCUUUACCUACCGGGUAAAAAAGAGUAUAAACUCCUCUAUCCUUGUCAUAGAUCCCAGGAAACGUAGGGCCAAAAAGAGAAUAUACAGCAAGAAAUGUUGCCAUGCUGCCCGGUCCACUAAACAUGAAUAAAAGGCCAAGAGUUAGAAAGGAGCCAGUCAAUGAGAACUUCAGGACAAACCUGUAAGUGUGAUUGAUGGUGCUUAAAAACGAACAUACCCAAUCAUAGAAGUGGCAUAGCGCAUUUGAAGCCGUUUUACAUCAAAUAUCUCAACCAGUCUUAGCCUCUGGAACAUUUUGAAAGAAAAAGUGGAUAUAGUGCAUUGAAUUAGUCAGCAUAGCAAAAUAAAUAUGUAUUAGGAAACCAUCUUCAAAAGAAGGUGACAAGAACCAAUCACCUGGGACCAAGGAUCGAAUCGAAGGUGAAAACCAUGAUCUGGAAAGCUAAUAACAAUAUCAAGUUUCAACGGUUCCUGCAUAAUGUGAGAUAGAACAUAAAGACCAUUUUAUAGGAUCGGCGGUAAACAACUUGAGAAAUGAAGACUGACAAAAGAUAUACAACUGAACAAGGAUGGCGGCGGCAGUAACUUACACCUACCAUACACAAGUCAAGUAAACAAGACCAGAACGCAUAAAGAAAGAGAAUUCUAGUUAUGAAAGACAAACCUCGUCGUAGUACUUCACAUGGACAACGUCGUAGAGAUUAGGUUGUUGCUCAAUCUGAGCGAAGGCUUCGCAAAUUGGCAUCCCUAUAGACACAAGCGAGGAGUAAUUGAAAAGCUAUUGAGGAGAAAUUACCCAAAGCGAAUAAGAAGAUAAGGGGCAAACAAGGAAGAAAGGGGAAAGAAGAAAACACAGAGAAAUUCAGCUAAAGAAAAUUAAUAAUUCAAGAAGUUCAGUAUCAAAGAUCAGAAUAGAGCGCUUCGGAAUGAUUGAACCGAAUUGCAGGAAAGAGAAAUGAGAGACUAAUCAAUUGAAAGUUGGAUCAGGGAAGAAACUGAAAGGAUCAGUAUUACCGAGAGAAAAGGGGCCGAUGCCGAGGCCAGGGCGGAGAUCGAGGACGAUGGCGCCCAUAGCUGUGCCUUCGCAGCGGGGCCGUGAUCGCUGAUGGUGUUGUUGCAUCAUUUGGUUUUCCGGUAUCCCGAACGGGGCAAAGGACUUUCCUUUUCUUUUGCUGGCUGUUCUUUCUUCGUCGUCUGGAAGUCUUUCGCGUUCUACUUAAAACUCCACCGCCGCACGCUUCCUUUUCCACAAUGCUUUCUAUCCAUCAACUCCGGCAAAAUGAGUUACGGUUGGUAGAGUUGUGGGUCGAUAAUUUAUAAAAUAUCGUAUUCGAUUUAUAUAUAUAUAUGUAAUGUUGCUCAAUUAUAAAGGAGACAUAUGUUGAACAAUUCAAAAAAUUAAUUAGGAGAUAUAAUUUCUAAAAAAAGAAAAGUAUGUGAGGAAAACAUAUCGUCAAAUUAACUCAUAAAAAGUAACUUGUAAACAGUUAAUUUUUAUCUUUUCGUAAAAAAACAAAAUCGAAAAUUGGUCAGGGAACUAAACAAACCAUGAAACCUAAUUCCCCAAACUCGAUGAGGUACUUCUCCUCUCCUCCAUCCUUCCUAAAGCCAUCAAACCAUUCUCGAGUAUCCCAAGUAAAUGAUCUUUAACUUAAUGGCCUCUAGUAAUGCCAUAGGGAAUUCAGCUUCUUUGAUUGAUAUCAACCAUCGAUCGAUCAUCAUUAUGUAUCGGAGAAAGUGUUAUUGACCACGCUGCACCGACAUUUAGAAACUACUUAGCUACCGAAGUAAUUAGGAUUGAAUUUCCUAGGUCUUUUAGUUGUAUUUACUCAAGUUGUGAAGAAUGCUAAUCGAAAUAAUUAGUUUGUGGUAUAGGUCCAACGAUUACUAUGAUUACUAAUGAAAUCGAAAAUGCAAUUAACAACUAAAACAGGGUGCAAGAUUGUAAAUAUUUCAAUGGAAAACAGAUGGAUGAACUGCUUAGACUUAGAAUCUUCUUAGGCCAUUAUGAUGAACACGAAACACUCAAAUUAAGUCAACUCGUACAAGAACAAAAAAUACAUAAUCUACCGUUGCAAUUCUUCACGAGACACGCGCCACACCGAAAAUACUUAGCAACCAAAGUAAUUAGGAUUAAAUUUCCUAAGUCAAUUCGUGCAGUAACUCAUUAAUAAUGAUUUAUGUAUAUGUUGAUGUUGAAAUUGACGAGACAUGCGAUACUCCAUACUCUUAAUCGUAAAUCAAAUAAUUAAAGUAUACGUAGAAAACAUUUUAUAUAGCAGAAAAUUUUAAUAGAUUUUUAAAGAGAAUUAGUAAUUAGAUUUAGUAAAAGAAAAUAGAAGGUAAUUACUUAGGUAAAUUGCAUGGAAAGAUUAUGAUUAAUUACUCGAUUUUUAUUGUUUGGAGAACCAUUCAUAUCCGUAGCUUUUGUAUUUUUUGAUGGCGUUUUGUGUGGAGAUAGUUUUUUAUCUUCAGACAUUUUUUUAUUUGUUUAACAAGCUCUCUUUAAAGAACAAAUUGAUUAAAUGGGGUAUUACUAUUGGUUUUGUCCGUGGCUUAUGUGAUGUUGGCUAUGAGACCUUUGAACAUUUGUUUCUCAUUUACCCUUUCUUUGCUCGCUUGAGAAGUAAAUUGUUCCCUCGUUUUAUUUUUUCCUCAAGUUUGGGAUGAUGAAGUUGAUUCGAUGCUUGACACUUUUCUUGACCGUUCCUCAACCUUUUAUGUUGUUCAUUUGGUUUGAAGAUGUUUUUGUAGUCACUUUUGAAACGAGAGAUGUCAUUAUAUUUUUACUGACGCUCGGAUAGAUAGUAAUCAACUGGACCGACAUCUUUGUUGAGAAUUUUCCGUGAUAGCAGUAUUAAAAGUUGUCUCGAUGUCUAUACUAACUCGUAUAUCUCUUAGUUGUAAUUAAUUUUGUAGAUUUAAAAUUUUUUUAUUGCUUUUUCUGAGCUGUUUAAGUCGUAUUAAUAAAAAUUUCGGUUGUUUGUGAUUUUGAUGAAAUGAAAUGAGAUUUAUUGAAAAAAAUAAUUAGGUAAAUAAGGUAAGGAGAAAUUGAAAGAAAAGGAAAGAAAAGAAAAAAGAAAAAGGAAAGUGCCGCAUUUGACGCUGGUACUAAAAAGCCUCCCUCCAUCCCGUUGUCGUCGUCACAGAGUCGGCCUAUCAUCUGUACUUGGAUUUUUUGGGCUAUUGUGUCUGUCUUCCAGUUCCUCCAAUCUCAUCCAAUCUAAAGUGUCCGCCUUUCAGAUUUAGUCUUCUCCCUCUGUAAUACCACCUUUCUCUCUCUUUCUCUUUUUAAAUACCCAGGAGCGAGAAAGUUGGGAAGGGGGGGGGGGGAGGGUUAGCGAGGGCUGUGGAAGAACGAAAGAAAUAGUGACUAUUGCUCUGUGUCAUAAUACUGACUAUUGCUCUGUCACAUCCCGAUUCAGCACAUCUCCACGUGCCCCCACUAUCUUCACCGGCGAUCAUCUUCCGACCUAGGGUUUCGACUAUCGACUUAGCUGCUGCUUCUAAUUAUUUCUUCCUUAUAGAGUUACCCACCACUUCGAUUUUCAAAUAUUUAGGUUAGAUUUUGUCAGCAGGACCAACUAGUCUUUGCGUUUCUUUUUUAUGAUCGCUAUUCCAACUUAACGACGAGAUGGAGCAACAGCAGCAGCAGCACCAGGUGUCCAGGAUUUGGAAAGGGGAAGGAGAGCAGAGUCAGCGGGGUGGUGUUUUCGACAGUUUGUUGCGGGGGGUUGGAGCUGAGGACAUGACUAUCGAUCAGUGCGAGGCGAUUCGGGAAAUGGACCACUCUCAGCUCAUCGGAGCUCCUGUCGCGGUAUCAUCAGACGUUGUUGCUAAAGUAGACUCGGUGGCUAUUGUGGACGUCCGAGUUGGAAAUGCGGUUGCUGCUGUACCUGAGAUCAGUACUGUGAAGAGGAGGCGUGGUCGGCCUCCGCGUAAUCAGGGGAAAGUAGCACCUCCUCCUCCGAAGGCGAUGGAGGAAGAAGAUGUUUGUUUCAUUUGCUUCGACGGUGGUAGCUUAGUGCUAUGCGAUCGCCGGUGAGUCUGUUUGGUUUGGUAUUGGUGUUCGUUUGGAAUUUCUGCCUAGAGAAGACGGUAAUUUGCAUUUUAGGAAAUGGUCUACCAUAACCGAACCAUACUUGACCGUCAGUCUCUUGAAAUUUCAACUCUUGGAGGUCUAGGAUUUUAUACUCUCAGUUUGUUUGCGCCCUAUAAUUUAAUUGGUUUCACUUUUUUGCUUAUCAUGUAAUAGGGGCUGCCCUAAAGCAUACCACCCAGCUUGUAUCAAGAGGGAUGACGCUUUUUUCCAAUCAAAGGCCAAAUGGAACUGUGGUAUUCUCUCGUUCAAUGCUUUCAUUCUGGUCAUUUCCGGGGUUUUUCUGUUUUUGAUGUCUUUGCUUCUGUAUACACCAACGGUGCUGUAAACCUAUUCGCUAGAUUAUUGACCAUAUGUUUGUCUGGGGAGUUUAUGCUGGGAGGAACAACGCUUAGGGAAAGAAUUCUUGCGUGCAUUUCUUUUCUCUCAGAUCAUGUGCAUGUGUGAAUCAAUGUCUGGCACAUUCCAUUUCUCACUGCAUUCUUUUGUUGCUUUGCUGUGCUCAUGGUUGCUGGAUCGUUAGAAGACUGUCUUGCUCCUAUCUCUAUUAUCUCCCUUCGACCAUUAUUCUGUUUCUGUUUCUGCCACCCUCCUUGUAUUUACGCCAAUUUUGUCUAAUCAUGGCUGUUCUAGGGUGGCAUAUUUGUAGCAGUUGCGAGAGGGCUUCUCAUUUUAUGUGCUACACAUGUACAUACUCUCUUUGCAAAGGGUGCACCAAAGAUGCUGCUUACUUGUGCGUGAGAGGAAACAAAGGGUUUUGUCGACAGUGCAUGAAAAUGAUAAAGUUGAUUGAAAAAGUACCUCUGGAGAAUGGCGAGCAGGUAUGUUCAGCUAUCAAGUUUUGACUCAGCUUUUGACGUAUUUCUUGAUUCAAAUGCUUCCAGAAUAGGAAACAAAAUGUGUAUUUAUUAUGGUUGGGUUAUUGCUUAACUAUAUUCACCAUUGCUUUCGAGCAUAGUAUACAUCGAUGCUCUUUACCAUUACAAGGGACUUAGAUUUAAAGUUGUUGCCCUUAGUUUUCAUAUGAAUACUUGGUCGGAAUAGACGAAUCAGUACAUUAUUUAUCUUCUAUAACUGUGUUAAUCUCGCCACAUUUAUUGUUACCCCUGUUCCAUGCUAUUCUACAGGUUCAAGUGGACUUUGAUGAUAAAGGUAGCUGGGAGUACCUUUUUAAAGUGUAUUGGGUUUGCCUUAAAGAAGGCUUGUCGUUGACAGUAGAUGAAAUUUUAAAGGCUAAAAAUCCCUGGAAUGUUGAUGAGUUACCUAAAGCUAAAAGCCCUUGGAAAGUUCCUGCUGCUGUGGAUCCUGUGUCAGAAUCUUCAGGUGAACUUUAUUAUGGUCAUGAUGAAAAGGCUACUUCUUCAGGAAACAGCUAUGGGAGCUUGGAGACUAACUAUUCCAAGAGAAGAAAAUAUGAUGUUGAGCCUAAGAAUUUAACUGAUGAAAAACCUGUAGGUACUGAAAAGUCGAGUGUUUCAAAAGUUGCACCUUUGCCAGAGGGCAUACAAUGGGCAACAAAGGAGCUCUUAGAGUUUGUUGCCCAUGUGAGAAACGGGGACACAUCUUUUCUAUCUCAGCUUGAUGUGCAGGCUCUUUUGCUAGACUACAUUAAAAGAAACAAUCUUAGUGAUUCUCGCCGAAAAAGUCAGAUUCUUUGUGAUACAAGACUAAUAAACCUCUUUGGGAAAACACGUGUCGGUCAUAUUGAGAUGCUGAAGAUUCUUAAAAACCACUUCCUCGUGAAAGAAAAUCCCCCGUGUGAUGAAUCUGUUAGGGUAGACAUAGCUGCUGCUGCUGCCGCGGGUAGCUGCGCUGAUCCUUAUGUAGGUAUCGGUAACGGCAUUGUGGUUAACAAUGAUAGAAGGCGUAAGACGCGCAAAAGGAUGGAUGAGAAAGUUACUCAGUUCAAUCCCAAUCCAGAUGAAUAUGCAGCAAUUGAUGUUCACAAUAUCAAUUUGUUGUACUUGAAGCGUAGUUCGAUGGAGAAUCUUGUGAUUGAUGCUGAUACGUUUCACGAGAAAGUUGUUGGGUCAUUUGUACGUAUUAGGAUUCCUUGUGGCGAUCAUCGACAAGAUGUGCACCGGCUCGUUCAAGUUGUAGGUAUGCUUUGUAUGACCUGUUUUGCAGAUUAGCUUUCAUUAGUAUGUUUCUGUUGAUAAGUAUUUAGCUUAAGAAUUAUGGAGGCAUAACUAAUUCCACAUGCAGGGACUGGCAAGGCAGCUCAAUCAUAUAAGCUUGGCAUAAGAAUAACUGAUAUAAUGCUUCAAAUAAUGAACUUAGACAAGAAGGAAGUUGUGUCAAUCGAUGGAAUCUCCGACCAAGAUUUCUCUGAGGUGACUUGAGACACCACAUAAAUGCCCGACCUUGUUAUUUCCAUGCUGAGCACAGUUUUUCUCAUAAUCUCUGGAUAGCGAAUUAUGUGUUUGCAUUGUCAUACUCUGGCUUCUUUAGUUUGACAAACAAAUUUUAGCAUGUACCUAAGUACCUCGCACAUGGUAAAUGAAAUAUUUAAAGUCCUGCAUAUAUGGAAUAUCUUCUUUCCUUCCUGACAUUCAUGGUAUUGAACUGCUGCAUAUUCCUUAUGUAAUUACUAUUUUCUUCUAUGUACUACUGUUUACUGCAAAACCUCCAAUGUGCUGGCUUGCGAUUAACAUUUCCGUAUUAGUAUCUUUGUUGGUUUCACCUUGGUGGUUGUUUUAGGAGAAUGCUUAUAUCUUUCUUUCCGCAGUUCCAUGAUUCUUUCUUUGUGUUUGCUCGAAUCUUAAGGCCAUAGGACUACGGAUUUUGAUAAACCUUCCUGUCAUGGUAUGUUGAUGACAGAAUUAUUUUUCAAGAUCACCUUCUGUUUCUUAAAUUAUACUAAAUUGCUAGUGGACAUGGUUUAGAUGUAGGAGAAUGCUUAUAUCUUUCUUUCCGCAGUUCCAUGAUUCUUUCUUUGUGUUUGCUCGAAUCUUAAGGCCAUAGGACUACGGAUUUUGAUAAACCUUCCUGUCAUGGUAUGUUGAUGACAGAAUUAUUUUUCAAGAUCACCUUCUGUUUCUUAAAUUAUACUAAAUUGCUAGUGGACAUGGUUUAGAUGACUUCCUAGUAAGUUUUUUCAAUACAAGAGUGCAGUUAAUGCCAUUUAUUCUCAUCUAUAUUCUAGGGUUUUGGAGACUACUUCCUUAAUUUAGUUGUUUUUCAUGUUUGAUUGAAGACGCAAGAUGUUUCCAUUUUAGUUAAUCGUUUGGCUGAAAUAUGACAUAAGCACAAAAGCAUGACAACACAGCUUACAAAUUUCUGGAUUAUGGAAGGCCUAUAAUAGAGGCUGACUUGACCUUGUCAAUUAUGUUUCAGGAAGAAUGCAAGCGUCUAAGACUGAGUGUAGGAUCAGGCCUCAUAAAGCUUAUGAAGGUGGUAAGUACUCUGUAAGCUAAAUUUUCAUGCAUUUACUUGCACAAAUCUGCGCAAUUAUCGAUAAUACACUUUUACUCCAUUUUAGGGUGCAAUCCAGGAGAAAGCAAAGGCACUUCAUUCUGUCAAAGUGACCGAUGUAUGUCUAGCUGUUAUUAUAAAUGGUUUCUAUUUGUUCAAGCUCUAUGGUGACAGUUCUGACUUGGUUUUUUGUUUGUACUUGCGAAUCAUCUCGGCAGUUCCUGGAAGCAGAAAUAGCACAGCUUACUCAUCUCCGUGAUCGAGCUAGUGAGAAAAGACAGCGCAAGAAAUAUCCUUACAUACAAUGGCUGUUUUGGCUUUAAUUAAUUGCAUAACAAAUAGUCGAGAUUCCGUUGCUUUGUAGACAUCUUUGGUUAUUGCUCCCCUCAAGUAACUUAAACAAGUUGUGGAUGACCUUGUGGUCAUUACUGAUAAAAAUCACGUGCUAACGGGUCAAACUAUAAAAAUAGUAGAAAACUCCGCAUUUAUAGAUUGUGAGAACCUUGGUUGAUAUUUCUUGCGAUAACGAGUUUCCCUUGACCAUGAUUUACUCUUAGGGAAUGUACGGAGAAAUUGGAGAUUUUGCGGUCAGUUGAGGAACGGCAGCGGAGGUUGCAUGAGGUCCCCAUCGUUCAUUCUGAUCCAAAUAUUGGUUUCAGGUCAUCCAGCCAUGGACAAAAUAGUCCUGCAGCGGUGCCUACUGAACCUAUCUCUGCAGCUGCCCCUGUGAUGCAUUAUCCUCCUCCAACAACCGGUGUGGUACCCCUUAAUGAUGAAGAGAGACUUUGGCAUUAUCGUGAUCCAUUUGGAACGGUUCAAGGGCCCUUCCCUAUGAUGCAGCUGAGAAGAUGGAGUACAAGUGGGCUAUUCCCACUGGAUCUGAGAGUAUGGAUGAUGAAUGGGAAGGAGGAAGAGUCUAUUCUCUUGACUGAUGCUUUACUAGGGUUGUUCCGUAGAGAGCCUCUGUUGCCUGCAAAUAACCAUAUGCCUCCCCUGGAAGUAACAACUGAUUGUAGUGAUAAAGAUAAGAUGUGGAAUCGUGUGUUAAGUCAGGAUAAAUCAACAAACCAGAUGCCUCCGCAGGAAGUAAUCACUGAUUGUGAUGAUAAAGAUAAGAAUUUGAACCUUCGUCAGGAUACUUCAAAAAACCAUAUGCCUCCACAGGAAGUAAUCACUGAUUGCAGUGAUAAAGAUAAGAAGUGGAACCCUGCGUCAAGUCAGGAUACUUCGAAGAACUAUAUCCCUCCCCAGGAAGUAAUAAAUGACUGCAGUGAUAAAGAGAAGAAGUGGAACAGUUCGUCAAGUCAGGAUACUUCGACAAAUCACAUGGAUAAGAAUAAAGAUGAUCAAAAUGGGCCAUCUGAGAGAAAUGAUUUAAGCAGCAUGGAUGUUGGUAAUGAUGAAGUAAGGAGUAAUGAGCUGGGUUCUCGUUCGUCCAGGUUGACCAUGUUAGUGGAUCUUGUCAUUGGCAGUAAUGAACUAGACCAAAAAUCCGAGCAGCCCUGCGAAUUGUCCAAGAACGUUAAGUCUGGUGUCAGCCAGUCUCAAAUUUGUGAUUCAGUUGCUUCACCUUCUGCUUCUGCUAAAGAGCGUGAUGCCGAGUCGUUGCAGGUGGCACAAGUUGUUGAAGAGGAGAAUAGGAGUACUAGUGUUAAUGAUGUAAAGAGAAGUCCCAAGGAGCAAACCGUUGUUGAAGAGGGUGAUGAAAAGAAAGGAAAAAGUGAAGGUUGUUCCAGCCAGUCGUCUGGACAGAGUUGGCACUCUACACAUAUGAACAUCUCGUAUGGAUGGGAUCUGAACUCUACUUUCCCUUCUAUGGUCAAUUCAAACGGGACGGUAAAGAAUGAGCAGGAAGUUGAUUUCUCUGAGAUAGGAACUUCAUUGCCAAAGCAAAGCAAUGAGGACUCAAAAGGUCCAAGCGUUGGCGAAAGCAAACACUCAGUCUCUUGCAAUGUACCCAUAAUUGAUGCAGGGCCUAGCUGGAGCACUACUUCAAGUUUAGUUGCUGGGGUACGGCUUCCUGACGUGGCUGCUGAAUGGACAAGAUAUUCCUCUCCUGCAAAACCUUCCGUCGAGGACUGGGGUUCCAAUCUUGUGUCCGCAUCGUCCUUGAGGCCACCUAAUGGUUCGAGUGAUCACGGUACCAUACCGACUUCAGGAGCUGGUGAACUGAGACAUACUUCACCGUCGAUUGAUGCAGGAGGAUGGCAGGCAAUGGUGUCUGAACCCAAUGAGUUCUCUUUAGUCGAUGAAUCUGUUUCAGAUCUUUUGGCUGAAGUUGAGGCGAUGGAGUCUCUUGGUGGUUUGCCGUCCCCUACUUCAAAACUGAGUUGCGUCGGAGAUUUGAUGCACGUUUCGGACAAUGACUGCUUUAGUCCCGUCGAGGAUUUCAGUCCUGCGGCUGUUCAUGGGAGGAGCGAUGCAUUGAGCUCCACUGGGGAUAUACAAAUGCCAGGUCAAAUAUCUGUAGCGGAGGAACAACUCGGCCUAUCUAUCAUGCCUUCUCAGCCAAUAGUACCGAGAGAUUCACUCGAGAAAACCCAGAAGCCUCCCCAGUUGACAGUAACUGAGCCAUUCCACAUAUCUCUCAUGCUUUCUCAGCCACUUGUAACAAGUAAACCCCAGAGUGCUACGGUUCCGACCCCACAUCAUCGUCAAUCACAGGCAGAAGGGUCUUUCGGUAUAACACGUACCGAUGUUCUUGAUUCUCAGAAGAGCAGCUCCAAUGGCCACUCGAGCAACGAGGUGGAGAGAGAGAGACCACACAGUGUGAAAUCGAACCGGUGGGAAGGGAGUUCUGAAACACAGAAUCAUCACCAGUCAAGUUCAAAACAACCAAAGCUGGAGUUAGACAUCCACCUGCCAUUUGGCUCGAAUACGAGCCGUCAUGAAGUGGAAGCAAAGUCAGACGUCCAGUUUCAUGCCCCGGCCUCGGUAGAUUUGAGACUAGGGAACUCAAGAGGGCAGCGUUCAAUUCUUGGGAUAGCACCUGGUAUUGCUGCUCAAGGAAAUACUAGCAUUCAUUCAGGCAGUACUGGUCACAGCUCAGUCAAGAAACAAGCUAGCCAAUACCCUGCAGCUACUGCAGCAGGGAUUCCCAGUCUGCUGGGAAGUCCUAGGCAUGGCGGCGACAAACAUUCUGGGUCGAGAGAUCACCGGAGCCAUCAUCAGAGCAGUAGAGAUUCGGGUUAUGGUAGAGAAAGAUCCACGUGGAAUAGCAGCAGCAGGCAGUCAUCUCAUGGAGGUCACGGAGGUGGCGGCUCUUUCAAAGCGGCGCCAAAAGGGCCGAGAGUGUGCAAGUUCUAUGAAAACGGGUAUUGCAAGAAGGGAGCAUCUUGUAGUUUUUGGCAUCCGUCAUGAAGAAUAUUAGAUUUUAGGUGGCGAAGUUAGGGCGGGCGAAAAAGAAUGAGAAUUGUGUGCAUUAUGCAAUCUUGUAGACACCAUGUUUGUGCUGGGAAGUCUUUACAACUCACCCCAGCCAUUGAAAUGUAAACUUGUACCCAGGGUAUUUAUUUAAUCGCCAAAUGACGAGUUCCUAUGAUUCUGCGCGGACAAUAUAGUUGAUGUUUGAUGCCAAAUGCAUAAAAGUUUGUGAUCUAUUUCUCUCAAAAACUAAAGUUUGUGAUUUCAGAAGACUUAUAUUUUGGUUGGCAUGGGUGAAAGCGUUCGAGUUUAGCUUAACCAAAUCUAUAUUUUUUUUUCCGAAAGGGAUGGUAUUCGAAUUUGUCAUUCCUUAAAAACGUUCAAAAGAGCGUAUAAUGUGUCCACCGGAGGUACAGACUUCACAAACGGAGCUGUAUGGGCCACGAGUCACCGCAAGAAGCGUUAACCUCAGUCCAUGCUCACCAGUAUACGGACAACGAUAAAAAACCCAGUCACCAAAAAAGCGAUAAACAAAACUACGCAUAUACAUGACUAAAAGCAAAGAGAAAUCCUGGCUAUGGACUUUUGCAUGGUCCUUAUGGAAAACAUCAUAAAGCUAGUCUUAUGACUAUCGGCCUAAUCCGCUUAUGGGAAACAUCAUAAAGCUAGUCUCAUGGCUAUCGGCCUAAUCCGCUCAGAUGAGCGGCUCUGACCCUCAAUAGUGGGCGAUCAGGGCUAUCCGGGACUUGGCACUCCCCACCCUUGAAGUCCUCCUCUUUAAUUCCCCUAUCGAAGGCUCCGGGGGCCGCACUGUUGUUCCCAAUGUCGGAAAGCCCGGAGGCUGCAAUGGGCGGUGACUCAGCAGUUGCGGCGACUGAUUGGUAUGCGAGAUCCGUGGUGCAUCCUACCCGCAGCACCGAGCGAGAGGGAUUGGACAGCUUUUCGUGAGGAUCGACCUGGAUCGGCCGUCCCAAUCGUUGGAGUCUCCCUCCCUGAAUCCAAAGGUCGAGGAUCCCGAAAGUCGCGUUGUUACUUCCAACGCUGGGAGGCCGUGGUGGCUCAUGGAUCUGCCAUUGCGGUGGUGGAUCGAUUUGCAGGGACCCAUGUUUCAUCCUACCCACGACUCCGAGAGGAAGGGGUGGAGCAGUGGCCCAAGGUUAGGAGUCCUCUACAAUUCCAGCUCAGAAUUCGCAUCAUGCUUGAUUUCUUAAAAAACAACAACGGCAGUCGACAACUCUUCUUCUCUUAGUGAGAGGUGCAGCUAGGACAGCGUUUUUAUGUUUCAGCCGACGGAAGAUUAUUACUUAAUUUAUAAUUUUCGUUUGAUAGAUAACUCCUCAUAGAAAUAAUUGGGGAUAAAGAAUUUAUCCAAGUCGUGAAAUGAGUUUCAACACAGUUAGGGUGAUAUGAAAUAGUAUUUCGAACUAUUUUAUGUACGGUUUUAUAUGGCACCUGUCACAUAAUGAACGCUUACCAAGUAGAUUUUUAGACAAUCAAUGUAACCUGCCAGGGCGCCAUGUUGAUUAGGACAAACCCGUACGAUGAAGAAUUCAAAGCAACACCAGGGCAAAACAAUUAAACAUUGCAUGGGUUUCCAUUUGUAGGUGCGACUCGAUUGGAAGUUAGAACAUGAUACCUUUGUACAAUUGUAUUCAUGAUAACAAGUUUUCGGAUUGUCGAAGGUCUAAUCGCUCCUAUGUGAACAUAGAAGCGUUGUAUUUUUAUUUUUACAAUUAUGAGUUUGGCAGAGUUAUGUAUGUUGAUUAUGCCGUCACCAUUAAUAUCACGUCCGGUGGUAACAUGAGAUACUAGAAGUAUAACUUGAUGAUAUUUAAUGACAGCAAUUAGUUGGGUGGUUAAUAUGAUGUGAAAAUCAUAAUUGAGUGGUGUAUGGAAUCUAAAAUUCUUGAGUGAAGGAAGUUCGUAGUCAAUUUUACUUACUUUUUGAGAUGCUUCCCCUGAGGGAGUUAUUAUGCCCAUGAGAAAGACGGAAAGGAAUGAGUGCCGGAAUCGAAGUGCGCGUUUGACCGAUGAUGCAGCUGUACUAGUAGUGUAAAAAGCCUCCCCACCAUCCCUUGUCGUCGUCACUCGUCACAGAACAGUCGGCCUACCUGUACUUUCUUUUUUAGCCAUUGUUGUCUUCCAUUUUCUCAGCUCACCCAAUCCAAAGUCUCCGCCUUUUCUGAAUAUGACUACCUUUCUCCAAAGGCAAGAGAGAGAGGAAGAAGAGCUGUGCAAGAAAGAAAUAGCAUUGCUCUGUCCUUCCAGUCCAUUUCCACGUGCCCCCCCACUAUCUCCACCGGCGAUCAUCCCCUCCUUCCUCCUCCGACCUAGGGUUUCGGCUUAGCUGCUUACCCUUCUAAUCUUACUUCGAUUUUAGUAGUUUCAAAUUCUUCAUAUGAGAUUUCAUCAGCAGCAUCAGUGGUAGCGUUUGCCUUUUCGUUGAUGAUUCUCUAAUCGAACUUAACAACUCCGACGAGAUGGAGCAGCAGCAGCAGCAGGUGGCCAGGACGUGGAAAGGGGAAGGAGAGCAGAAUCAGCGGGGUGGUGUUUUCGACAGUUUGCUACGGGGAGUUGGAGCUGAGAACAUGACCAUCGAUCAAUGCGAGGCGAUUCGGAAAUUGGACGACGACUCUCACCUAAUCGGAGCCCCUGUCACGGUCUCAGCAGACGUUGCUGCUAAAGUAGAGUCGGCGGUUACUGUGGACGUCCAAGUUGGAAAUGCGGGGGCUGUUGUUCCUGAUAUCAGUGUGGUGAAGAAGAGGCGUGGUAGGCCUCCGCGUAAUCAGGCGAAAGUAGCGCCUCGGACGACGACGAAGGAGAUGGAGGAAGAAGAUGUUUGUUUCAUUUGCUUCGACGGUGGCAGCCUAGUGCUAUGUGAUCGCCGGUGAGUCUGGUUUGUUUUGGAAUUUCUGCCAAGAGAAGACCUUUAAUUUUUAUUUCAUGUCUGUUGCAUCUAUAUGCUUUUUCAAAGGCAGAGUGGAUAAACACCAUAACAAAGUUUCUACCAUAACCGAACUAGACGGGGACGUCAAUAGUCUCAGUUUGUCCCUUAUAAUUUGAUUGGUUUCUCUUUUUCUGGAUUAUCAUGUGAUAGGGGCUGCCCUAAAGCAUACCACCCAGCUUGUAUCAAGAGGGAUGACGCUUUUUUCCAAUCAAACGCCAAAUGGAACUGCGGUAUUCUCUCGUUCAAUGCAUUCAUUCUGGUCAUUUUGUAUGGAAUAUCAUCAACUGCUUGUGCGUGAUCGAUUACUUUGGAUUCUAUAGUUUCUUCUCUGAUAUCAUGUGCAUGUGUGAAUCAAUGUCUGGCAUAUUCCCUUUCUCAUUGCAUGUUCUUUUUUGCUUUGCUGUGCUCAUGGUUGCUAUAUCGUUAGAAGAAUGAUGAAUCUAGUACUCCGUACCUAGCCUGCUCCCAUGACUCUUCCUUAUUCCUCCCCGGACCACUAUAUUGUUUCCAUUUCUACUACCUCUUUGUCUUUAUAUUGUUUUUGUCUAAUCAUGGCUGUUUUAGGGUGGCAUAUUUGUAGCAGUUGCGAGAAGGCUUCUCAUUUCAUGUGCUACACAUGCCCAUACUCUCUUUGCAAAGGGUGCGCCAAAUUUGCUGAUUACUUAUGCGUGAGAGGAAAUAAAGGUUUUUGUCGAUCGUGCAUGAAAAUGAUAAUGCUGAUAGAAAAUGUACCAGCUGAGAAUAGUGAGCAGGUAUGUUGGUUAUCAUGUUUUAAUUAAGCUUUUGAUAGAUUUCUUGCAUCAAUUGCUUUCGAAGUAGGAAAUAAAUAUGUUGUUUAUUAUGGUUGGAUUAAUGUUGAACUACUUUUCGCACCGUUGCUGUGUUUUGUUUCUUGUGUCAUUCAAGCAUGCUAUUCAUUGAUGCUCUAUGCCAUUGCAAGUGACUUAGAAUUGAAAGUCACGGCCCUUAGUUUUCCUCUAAGUAUGUUGUGGGAAUAAACGAAUUGGUAUAUUAUAUAUCUUUUUUAACCGUAUCAAUCUCUUUAAAUUCAUUCCUAUUCUACAGGUUCAAGUGGACUUUGAUGACAACACUAGCUGGGAGUAUCUUUUCAAAGUGUAUUGGGUUUGCCUUAAAGAAAGCUUGUUAUUGACAGUAGAAGAAAUACUAAAGUCUAAAAGUUCCGGGCAAGUCGAUGAAUUACCUAAAACUAGAAGCCCCUGGAAGGUUUCUGCUGUUAUGGAUCCUGUAUCAGAAUCUUCAAGUGAACUUUGUUAUGGUCGUGAUGACAAGGCUACUUCUUCAAGCACCAGCUAUGGAAGCCUGGAUACGAACUAUUGUAAGAGAAGAAAAUAUGAUGUGGAACCUAAGGUUUUAAGUGAUGAAGCAUCUGUAGGUACUGAAAAGUCGAGUGUUUCUAAAGUUGCACCUAUGCCGGAGGGCACGAAAUGGGCAACAAAGGAGCUCUUAGAGUUGGUUGCACAUGUGAGAAAUGGGGAUGCAUCUUUUCUAUGUCAGUCUGAAGUGCAGGUUCUUUUGUUAGAAUACAUUAGAAGAAACAAUCUUCGUGAUCCUCGCAGAAAAUGUCAGAUUCUUUGUGAUACAAGACUAAUAAACCUCUUUGGGAAAACACGUGUUGGUCAUAUUGAGAUGGUGAAGCUUCUUGAAUAUCACUUGCUUGUGAAAGAAAACCCCUCGCAUGAUGAAUCUGUUAUGGUAGACAUAGCUGUUGCUGAUGCUGGUACUGCUGCUGCAGAGCGUAGCUGCACUGAGGUUCCCUUUGCCCAUUCUGAUCCAAAUAUGGGUCCACAUUGCAAGUCGGAAGGAAAUAUCAAAGAGGCCAAAAAUCAUAUAACAUUGAACCAUGAAGGAAUGGGUUCAUCCAGCCAUGGACAAAAUAUAUCUGCAGUUUCCUCGGUCAUGCAUUUUCCUCCUCCAACUACCGAAGGAGUGAUAUCUAAUAAUGAUGAGUUACAGCGACUUUGGCAUUAUCGUGAUCCAUUUGGAACUGUUCAAGGGCCCUUUCCUAUGGUGCAACUGAGGAAUUGGAGUACAAGUGGGCUAUUCCCCUUGGAUCUGAGAGUAUGGAUGAUGAAUGGAAAGGAGGAAGAGUCUGUUCUUUUGACUGAUGCUUUACUUAGGUCGUUCCAUAAGGAAAUAAUAACUGAUCGUAGUGAUAAAGAUAGUAAGUGGAAUUGUGCAUCAAGUCAGGAUACUGCUACAACUCAUAUGGACGAGAAUAUAGUCCAUCAAAAUGGGCAGCCCGAGAAAAAAGAUUCAAGUAGCACGGAUGUUGGUAAUGGUGAAGUUACCAGUAGUGAAGUGCUAGGUUCUCGCUCUUCCAGGUUGACCAUGUUGUUGGAUCUUGUCAUUGGGAGUAAUGAACUAGAUAAAAAUUCUGAGCAGCUCUGUGACUUGUCCAAAAAUAGCAACUCUGGUGGCAAUCAAUCUCAAAUUUAUGAUCCAGUUGCAUCACCUUCUACUUCUGCUAAAGUGUGUGACGUUGAGAUGCUGCAUGUGACACCAGUCGGUGGAGAGGAGAAUAAGAGUACCAGUGUUAAUGAUGUAAUGAGAAUCCCCCAUAGGACAAAUCCUAAGGAGCAAACCGUUGGUGAAGACGGUGAUGGAAAUGAAGUAAAAACUGAAGGUUGUUCCAGCCAAUCUUCUGGGCAGAGUUGGCAUCCUACACACAUGAACAUCUCGUAUGGAUGGGAUCUCAACUCUACUUUUCCGUCAAUGGUUAAUUCAAAUGGGGCAGUAAAGAAUGAACAGGAAGUUAGUUUCUCGGAGGUAAAGCAUGACAAUGGGGAAUCAAAAGGUCAAAGUGGCGAACAAAAAUACUCUGUUUCUUGCAAUGUAUCCAUCAUUGAUGCAGGGCCCAGCUGGAGCACUACUUCAAGUUUAGUUGGUGGAGCACGGCUUCCUGAUGUUGCUGCUGAAUGGACAGGAUACUCCUCUGUUCCUGCAAAGCCUUCUGUUGAGGACUGGGGUUCCAAUCUUGUCUCUGCAUCAUCCUUCAGGCCACCUAAUGGCUCAAGUGGUCAUGCUUCCAUACCAACUUCAGGAGCUGGUGAACUGAGACACAGUUCACUGUCGCAUGGAUCAAUUGAUACAACAGGAUGGCAGGCAAUGGUCUCUGAACCCAACGAUUUCUCUUUAGUUGAUGAAUCUGUUUCAGAUCUUUUGGCUGAAGUUGAGGCAAUGGAGUCUCUCGGUGGAUUUCUGUCCCCUACUUCCAAAUUGAGCUGCGUUGGAGAUUUGAUGCAUGUUUCAGAUAAUGAUUGCUUUAGUCCUGUUGAGAAUUUCAGCCCUGCUCUUCCUCGUGGGAGAAGUGCUGCAUUGAGCUCCGCUGGGGAUAUAGAAAUGCCAUCUCGAUUAUCUGUUGCAGAGGAACAACUUGACCUAUCUAUCAUGCCUUCUCAGCCAAUUGUACCGAGGGAUUCCCUUGAGAAAACACAAAAGCCUCCCCAGUUGACAGUAACCGAACCAUUUCACACAUCUCGUAACAAGUGAACCCCAGAGUGCUACAAGCCCGACCCCAUCUCGUCUAUUACAGUCAGAAGGCCCUAUUGGCAAUAUACGUACUGAUGUUCGUGAAGCUCCAAAGAGCUCCAAUGGACACCAGAGCAAUGAGUUGGAGAGAGGUUCAGGACUGCACAAUGUUACAGCUAACUGGUGGGGAGAGACUUCGGAAGCAUAGGCUCACCAGUCAAGUUCGAGACAAGCAAAGCUUGAUUUAGACAUCCAGCUUCCGUCUGCCACGAAUGUCAGACGUCCAGUUGCCUGCCCCAGCGUUGGUAGAUUUGAGAUUAGGGAACUCCAGAGGGGGUUCAAUUAUUGGCAUAGCACCUGGUAUUGCUUUUCAAGGAAAUACAAGCACUCGUCCAGGUACCAGUCACGGCUCAGUUAAGAAGCAAAGUACCCAACACUCAACCACUUCCACAGGGCAUUCAACUACCAGCACUGGGAAUCCCAGUCUGUUUGGAAACCAGCCGAAGCAUCAAAGUAGCAGAGGUUCAGGUUUUGGUAGGGAAAGGUCAGUGUGGAACGGCAAUGGCAGGCAGUCUCCUCAUGGAGGAGACACUUUCAGAUCACCGCCCAAAGGGCAGCGAGUGUGUAAAUUUUACGAAAACGGGUGUUGCAAGAAGGGAGCGUCGUGUAGUUUUUGGCACCCAUCAUGAUGCAAAUUUUUUGUUUAGAUCAUGAGGGAAGAGAAUACAUUGUAGGCAUGUAUACUAGCAAGUAUUUUCCUCUCUAUUGCCAAUAUUAACUCAAGUUAAAUUAAAAUUCAACACAUUUCAAUUCCAUGAUUCCAUCCAUUUGUGGCAAUUGUAAUAAUGAUCUCAGACAAUUCAUUUAGUCAUAAAUUUCAAAAGAGGAACAACACAAUACCAAGUUUAAAUACCACACCACAUAACAUAUUUAUCAUAAAAUNNNNNNNNNNNNNNNNNNNNNNNNNNNNNNNNNNNNNNNNNNNNNNNNNNUUUUUUUCCCCCCCCCCCCCCCCCCCCCCCCCCCCCCCCCCCCGCCAUUCCCCCCCCCACCUCCCCCGCCGCCUCCGCUUCCUCCGCCCCAUCCAUGCCCGCCACCAUUUCCUCCUCCACCCCCGCCACCUCCACCACCGCCGCCAUUUCCGCCUUUUCUUUUGUGAGCCUUACCUUUACCUUUACCUUUUCCACUGCCACCUCCACUCCCACCACCACUUCCUCGGCCUCCUCCACUACCCCCGCCACUUCCUCUGCCUCCACCACCACCAUUUCCACUACCGCCACCACUUCCUCUGCCUCCGCCACCACCAUUUCCACUACCACCGCCACUUCCUCCGCCACCACCAUUUCCACUGCCGCCGCCGCCAUCUCCUGCAUGAUUUACGUUUGCCAAAUUUUCCAGUACUGCACUACCGUUGUUUAGUUCCUCCUUACCUUGGACGAAGACAUUUGAUGGGUUAACAACGGAUCUUUCUGUCGUGUUAAAUACAACUGCGACGCCGGCAUUUCUUUCCUGGACCUUGCUAUCCGCCCAAAACGGAACAAAUCCUAGCACCAGAACAAUCACCAGUGUCGGCCCCGUUCCCCUAACCAUCAUAUUAAGCUUAUGUUUUCUCUGCUCCUUUGACGAGGAAUCAAGUGAACCCAACAUUGCCCCCUUUUAUAAGCGCUUUUGGUACGUACCGACCCACCACAUUGUGCAUUGUAC
rnacentral:lncRNA from 1 species